rnacentral:lncRNA from 1 species
UCGAAGGUAAGAGGUUGCCACAUUGUCAAUGGGGAGAAGCUGUCUCCACUGCAGCGUAUCUGUUGAACAGAAGCCCAACCAAGGCGUUGUCAAACUGCACUCCUGAAGAAGCAUGGUAUGGAGUAAAGCCAACUGCACAUCACCUUAGGAUUUUCGGAUCUGUAUGUUACAAACACGUGCCAGACGAAAGAGGUAGGAAGCUGGAUGACAAGAGUGAGACACUUAUCCUGGUUGGCUUUCACCCAAUAGGUGCCUACAGAUUGUACGAUGUAGCAAAGAAGAAAAUUGUUAUUAGCCGAGACGUGAUGAUAGAUGAAGUAGCAACCUUUGAAUGGAAAAAUGAUGAAGCAAAGCCAGAUGUUGUGUUAAGCUAGUUAGAAGAUAAGAACUCUACUGAAGAACAAGUCACAGCAAAUAGUGGAAUCAGAUCAACUGAAGAACAAGUCACAACAGAUAGUGGAAUCAACAAUAGAGGAUCUCAAAGAACCAGAUUCCCAUCUACCAGACUUCUAGACCAUGAGGUAUAAUGACAUAACAGAUUCUGGUGAUCUAGUUCAUUGUGUGUUCUUAGCAUAUGCAUAAGCCUUGACUUGGGAGGAGGCAAUUGACAUUAAAGAGUGAAAAGAAGUUAUGAUGGAUGAACUGAAAACUAUCGAGAAAAAUAGAACCUAGGAAAUGGUGGAUUUGCCUCAUGAUAAACAACCUAUUGAAGUCAAAUGGGUGUUUAAGACAAAAUAUAAACCGAAUGGAGAAGUGGCAAAGUUUAAGGCCAGGUUAGUUGCAAAAGGUUUUCUACAGAAACCCAGAAUUGAAUUUACUGAAGUGUAUGCGCCCGUAACAAGAAUUGAAACUGUGAGAUUGGUGAUAGUUGUGGCUAAUUUUAAGAAUUGGAAAAUCUACCAAAUGGAUGUCAAAUCCGCAUUCUUGAAUGGUCCAUUAGAGGAAGAGGUCUAUGUGAGACAACCUCCAGGGUUUGAAAGGAAAGGAGAAGACCAGAAGGUCUUCAGAUUGAACAAGGCAUUAUACGGCCUCAGGCAAGCACCUCGGGCCUGGAACACACAUAUCGAUGCCUUGCUUGUCAAACUUGGAUUUCAGAGAUGCACUGUAGAAUUCGGAAUCUAUGUGAAAGCUAGUGGACAACAACGUAUGUUAUUAAUUUGUUUGUAUGUAGAUGACUUGCUUAUAACGGGAGCCUCGAUGGACAAAAUUGAAAUAUUCAAAAGAAGAAUGAAGGAAGAGUACGAGAUAACUGAUCUCAAGAGCCUGAGUUACUUUCUUGGAUUGGAGUGGUUGCAGACAGCAGACGGAAUAUACCUUCACCAAAGGAGGUAUAUAAAUGAAGUUUUGAAAAGGUUCAAAAUGGAGAAGUGCAACGGUGCUACAAUACCAGUCAUGGCAAACCUGAAAUUGAUUAAUCAUGCAGAUGAGAAGAAAGUGGAUGCUACUCUGUAUAAAUAGAUUGUGGGGUCCCUCAGAUACAUUUGUAAUAGCAGACCUGAUAUCAACUAUGGAGUUGGAGUGGUCAGCAGGUUCAUGAGUGAUCCCAGGCAGUCCCACUUAGCUGCAACAAAACACAUUCUGCGUUAUUUGAAAGGAACUACAGACUUUGGACUCUUCUUUCCCAAGAAAAGCGACAACGUGAGAGGAGCUUUAAAGGCUUGGUGCAAUGCUGAUUGGUGUGGUGACAAAGUUGACAGGAAAAGCACAUUUGGGUAUUUGUUCAAGUACACGGGAGCAACAAUUUCGUGGUGCUCCAAGAAACAGAACGUGGUUGCCUUAUCGUCUUGCGAAGCGGAGUACAUUGCAGCUACUGAGACCGCUUGUCAGUGUGCAUGGCUAGAGUCAAUCUUUGAGGAAUUGAAAAUUGAAUGUGGAAGACCGAUGCAACUUCUAGUUGACAAAAAAUCAGCUAUAAGAUUGGCUAAAAACCCAGUUUUUCAUGCUAGAAGUAAACACAUCGAAACUAAGUUCCAUUUUCUGAGAGAAGAAGUUAAUAAAGGUAGAGUAGAGUUGGCCGAUUGUUGUUCAUAAGAUCAAACCGCAGAUGUUUUCACUAAAGCUUUGAAGUAGUUUAGAUUUGAGAAACUGAGAACUUCAUUCAACGUCAUACCUUUGAGGAAUUCAGAUUGAGGAGGGUGUGUUAGAUAUCGAUCUGUAUUCAACAACUACAAUAAUUGUUUAUAACAAUUAUUCUCUUACAUUCUUUUUUAGUAUAAAUAAUCUGAAUGUAUUCAUUUUCAAUUAAUGAGAAAUCCACUCACUUUCUCUAGCUCUCUCUCCCUCUGCAAUUGUUAUUCUGCAUAAUUCUCUUUUACUGCAUAUUCAUCUCUUAGGCUCUAUCACACUAUCCAAUAAUGAUUAGGUAUUUUAACAUUUUGGUUGGCAAAUAUCUUCUCCAGUUUUCGCUUUUCCUAUACACUCCAUAGAAUAUACAGUUGGUCCAAAAAAAAAGCCAGUAAUGACUCUAGAAAUGGAAAUAGUAACUCAAACUAUUCUUUAUUUUGAAAUAUUAGGAAGAACAUAUAAAUAGAGAUAAAAUACUGCAAAAGAAUGCAAGCUAGAAAGCAUUAUAUGACUAAAAGAAGAUUGUCAAAUAUACUCCCGUGUAGAUAGAGAAUUAAGAUAUGGGAAGAUAGAGAGUAAAUCUCCACUAAAUAACUGGCCAAAGCAACAACGAAAACCAUUUCAUCCCCACUCUUUAGUUAAAAAUCCUAGGUUUAGAAAACAUAGAACCAAAGAUGUGUUAUAAGUUUUGAAUAUAAUAUUGCAAAAUAUUUUGAUUUGAAAGUUGCUACUAUCCCGUAAGUCUCGUAAGUGUUGUUGCUAAUAUUUUAAUUCAUUAAAAAAAUCAUUUUUCUAGCACAUCUUUUGAAUCUUUUGGAUCAUGGGCCUUGUUCACCAACUCUAUAAAUAGAGCAUUUCCUUCACUCCAAAAUAGAUGAGAAACCAUUAUUCUCUCAUUCUUUUCUCUUAGUUUCAAUUUUUCUCUUUUCUUCUUUUCUAAAGAUAUUCUGGGUUUGUUUGUUUUAUUCUCUUUUUAAUGAUAUUGUUGGUUCUGAAAUCCCCAGACAUUUCUAUGAGAAGCUCCUGUUGUAUCUGGGAGACUUACGCAAUACACCGCGAAUAAGUCCUUAAGGACUAUGAGCACUUUUUACUAGAAUAUGUAAAGCCAAUAUAAACAAACAUAACUAACGCAAUGAGGACUUUAAAGACCUAUCAUGUACCAUAUACAUUCUUGCUUCAUUUAAUUGACUAUACACAUAUUCAUGGUACAAAAUUAAAAGGGAGUUCUUGAAAUAAAACCUGAGAUCCUCGAUGGAAAUUAGACUUGGCCGUGAUUUGUUUAAAAACCUGAGAUGAUCGUGGGAAAAAUUCAAUAACCUAUAUGAUAAAUUAUGCAACAUAAUUAAAAAUAACAUUACUUCACAUAACAUUAAUUCAAUUAUUCUGCAUGUUUCUGAUAGGAAAUAAUAUAUUUGAUUAUAGUUUACCUUAUUUAGUUUCUGCAUAAUUGAUUCUGUAUUAAAUAAUUGAUAUAUUCUUUCCUUAAUUAUGGUUAUGUACAUUCUAUAUAUUGUGCGCUGGUUACUCUUUCAAGAUCAAUAAAACACAUUUGUUACAAUCCUUACAUGGUAUCAGCCUAAUUUCGAUCCUUCCUUACCCUUUCUUCUUUUCUUUUCUUCCCUAUGGCUAAUACUGAUGGUGCUUUUUCCUUUAACACCAUGAUCCAUAUGUUAAACAUACGCCUCACCUCAACCAAUUUCAUUCUCUGGCGUCGUCAGCUCCUUCCUCUUCUCGAAGGACAGGCCCUUUAUGGUCAUAUUGAUGGCUCAAUCAUAACUCCUCCUACGAAAUUGCCUACUGCUGAUAGAUCUUUGACGGUUCCUAAUCCAGCCUUUAUUACAUGGAAACAACAAGAUCAAAGACUUGUAAGUCUUCUUCAGGCCUCCCUUAUUGAAGAGACUCUAGCGGAAGUACUGCACUGUGACACCGCACAACAGAUCUGGACUACUCUUGAAUCCCUCUACGGUGGUGACUCCAAGGAAAGAGAAAUUGGGAUCAGAGAUCAACUGUUGCACCUUACAAAAGGCUCAUCCACUGUUAAGGAGUUUUCCAAAACAUUUUGAGGCUUAUGUGAUCAACUCAGCCUUAUGGGUAGACCAGUGGAUGAUUUAGAUAAAUUACACUAGUUUUUACGGGGUUUAGGUCCCACUUUCACUAGCUUUGGUGCAUCUCAAUUAGCCAUGCGACCACUGCCUAUUUUUCGUGAUCUUCUUUCUGCUGCUGAGAGUUUUGAAAUGUAUUUACAUGUCGUUGAAUCUACUCCCUCUCAAGCUGCUUUUAAUACCACUACUCAACGUUCCUCUCAAUCAUCCAUUACACAUUUUCAAUCUGGAUCGCGUUCUUUCUCAACUGACAAAACAGGUCGUGUGCAAGAUAAAGACAAAAGACCCAAUCUGGAUCCUUCAACCUCCCGGUUAUACGUAACAAGACAUGCCAAGUUUGAUGAACUUUUUUUUCCGUGUUCAAAAACAAGAACUAUAUCUCCAAUUUCCGGAUUGGGUUUUUCUUCAUUUGUUGAACCAGCCUCAACACCUGAAAUUCCUGCUCCAGCUUCUGCACCAGCUUCUUCUUUGCCACUAUCCAAGGAAACUGUGCACUCACCAACCACACCUUGUGGUCGAUGUCCUGCUGAAGAUACUCCUUCAACUGUUGUUUCCAUGCCUCAUACUCAACCACAAAUACACCGUAGUGUCCAGUCUACUCAUCCUAUGGUCACACACGCCAAAUCAAGUAUUUUUAGGCCUCGUCAUUUUGUGACAUUACCACCUACCAACCAUCUUCUCUGCUUUAUGCUUUGCUCACCACUUCUACACCCAAAGGAUUCAAAUCCGCUGCCAAACAUCCUGGUUGGUUAGAUGCUAUGCAUAAAGAGCUCCUGGCCUACACUCCAACAAUACUUGGGAUCUUGUCCCACGUCCAUCCAACACCAACAUUGUAGGAUCCAAAUGGGUGUUUCGCACCAAAUAUCUUUCAGAUGGGUCAAUUGACAAAUUAAAAGCACGGUUGGUUGCACAAGGCUUCACUCAAGCACCUGGUCUUGACUAUGAUCACACCUUCAGUCCUGUUGUUAAAGCUGCCACUGUUCGUGUCAUUCUCACUAUAGCAAUAAUGAAUAAUUGGCCUCUUCAUCAAUUGGAUUUCAACAAUGCAUUCUUGAAUGGGCACCUGACACAUCCUGUCUAUAUGGAACAACCUCCAGGGUUCGUUGAUCCUCGAUACCCAAAUCAUGUUUGUCGACUUCGGAAAGCUCUUUAUGGCCUCAAACAAGCCCCUCUUGCAUGGUUUCAACGAUUCAGCUCGUUUUUGCUCAGUCUUGGGUUCCUCGGAAGCAAGACAGAUCCAUCUUUAUUUGUCUUCCACAACACUGCUGCCACUCUAUAUAUACUUGUUUAUGUUGAUGACAUAAUUUCGACAGGGAAUAAUAAUUCUUUACUUUAAAAACUUUUGGCAAGGUUCAAAACUGAGUUUGCUAUCAAGGAUUUAGGCCAUCUAAAUUACUUUCUUGGUCUUGAGGUUCACUACACUACCGAUGGUGUCUUUCUUAGCCAGACCAAAUACGCUCAAGACAUUUUAUCUCAGGCCCAGAUGUUGGAUGCAAAACCGACAACCACACCUCUCCAACCUCAUAUUCAACUGACAACCACAGGAGAUCCAUUCUCUGAUCCCACUUAAUAUCGCUCUCUCGUUGGUGCACUCCAGUAUCUCACUAUAACUCGUCCUGACUUGUCCUACGCGGUAAAUUUGGUUAGUCAAUUUCUUCAAGCUCCAACAACUGAUCACUUUCAAGUAGUUAAACGCAUCCUUCGAUAUGUCAAGGGCACCAUGUCUUAUGGCCUAUCCUUCACCCGUGGAGCUUCCCUUAAUGUUCUUGGAUACUCGAAUGCUGAUUGGGCUAGAUGUAUUGAGACUAGGCGAUCUACCUAUGGUUAUUCCAUCUUCUUAGGCGGUAAUCUCGUCUCAUGGAGUGCUAAGAAACAACCAACCGUAGCUCGAUCAAGUUGUGAAUCAGAAUAUAGAGCCAUGGCUAAUGCAGCAGCUGAACUAAUAUGGCUUACUCAUCUUCUACAUGAUCUGCAUAUUUCCCAUCAAGCGUCAACUCUUCUUUGUGGCAACAAGAGUGCUAUAUUCCUCUCCCAAAAUGAUGACGUUCCAGCUUGUAGGUGAAUGAAAUUUGAGCAGCGGAAGUUAACAUGAAGCAACAGCAGUGGAGGUGGAUGUAUAUGGAUGUCGGUGUUGGAUGAAGAUGCGACAGCGGAAGAAUUCUCAAUGAAAACAGUGACGGUGAAAAUGAACUGAUUCAAGGUGAUGCACGGAUGAAGAGCUCGGUGGUGAAUGAAACUAGUCAGACGGCUUCCAUAAUUGGAAGGAACUAGGUGGUGAGGGGAAAGCUCAAGGUAGUAUGACUUUCGGCAGAGUUUUGUUUGCUGGAAAUUCAACAGCUGAAAUAAUGCUCAUAUAUCCAAAAGUGUGAUACAAAGCUGCCAGGAUGGGUUUUAUAAGUGAAUCCCCUUGGCUGUGUGCAUGAAUUCCAUGACCCAUGAAGAGUGGAUUGGCUGCCACCUAUAAUUCCAUGUGCAGCAGGUGCUGGCCUUCUAGAAAGGCUUAUUUACAAUGUGAUAAAAUCAGUACACACGUGUUUUGGUGCUGAAAAUAAAAUGACUUUGCCAUNGGUGUGCUUAGCAAAGAAUGNUGNUGUGUCUAGCAACUUUAAUAGUCAUGUGGACAGAUUUGCCCUUCUUUUGGUGUCCAUGUCUUCAAGCUCUUGUUGGAGCUUCCUAGCCAUGCUUCUAGUGAUGGGUCCAUGAUGGGCUUGGGCCCAAGUCAUCAUCCCCUCCCCCUUGGAAAGGAUUUGUCCUCAAAUCUAAGGGCUUGGUUGAGAACUUAUUUUUGUAGGCUUCAUAGAAGUUCCUCCUGGAUCAAAGAUUAAUCUGCAAUAAGCAUCAAACAUAUUUCUAGUUAGUUUUCUAUGACCCAAGAUGUAUAAAAGAAUAUGUUGAGAAGAAGACUUCCUAAUGUUGAUUUGUUCAAGUUUUAUAAAUCUAUGAAGUCUUACUUCUUUCAAAAAUUUAAUUUUGUCAUGAGUUAGUUGAAACCUCAAAGGUAACAAUAACUCAAGUGAAUUGCCACAUUUUUCAAGUUGUAAUAUUUUUAAAGAUGGAGGGAUAAUUUCUUUGAAAGAAAAGUUAAAGUUAGAAUACUCAGUGAUAAAUGGAGAAAAAUAAAAGGAUAGAAAACCUCCCCUUAAAAGUUUAGGUUCUAUNGUGAGAGUAGGAGAUGUUUCCCUUAGUUGCUCUUUUUCCUUUUCCUCCAUUUUUCUUUCAACUUCUUCCUUUUCUCUCUUUUCUUUCCUUUCCCUCUCUCUUCUUUCUUCCUCUUCCUUUCUCUCUCUUUCUUCCUCUUUUCUUCUCUCUUGUUCUCUUGUCUCUUGCUCUUGUCUCUUUCUCUCUUCCUUUUCUCUUUUCUCUUAUUCUAUUCUUUCUUGUUCUCUCUUCCUCUCUCUUUCUCUUUUCUGGCUCUUUAACUUUUGAAGUUUGUCCCCAAAUUCCAUUUCUCUGCGAAAGAAACCUUGAUCUUUUAAACUCUUAAGAAAUGAUUUUCCCUCUUGAAUACUAUCUCUCAUAAUUUUCAAGUUUCUUAUAAUCAAAGGAGGUANAAACUUUCUUCUCAUGCACGCUCUCAAUUCAUACCAAUUUUCAAUGGUGGAUUUCCUACCUUUAUGAACCCAAUAUUGCCUUUCAUCCCACCACUCUAAUGCAUGCUUUUCUAAUCUAGAGAGAUAUAAACUAAGAACUCGAGAUUCACACUCUCUAGAAAGAACAAUUGUACUAUAAGACUCAAUUUCACUUUGCCUAAGAAGGACAGGAUGCAUUUUAUUAAUUUCUUUUUCCCAAACUAGGUAUGUCAAAACAUUUGUAUCUUUACCAAAGAAGGGAAUUUUUCUAGCUUUAGUACACAAAUCAUCCUUAAUGUAUGAACUAGACAUCCUAGGUGAACAAAAAGACAUUUCUAAAAGUUGUCUUGUGUUGCAAUUGCUUAGAUUUCACCCAAAAACAAUUUCCAGGUAAGGGAGGUGAAUCACUAGGAUUACUUAAGUACCAAGCCUUGUCCUUGCCAAAAUUGUUCUAGGCUACUUACUUAGUUGUUGUUACAUGCAAGAUUACUUUCAAAAUCACAAAAGAAGACUCAAAAGCAAAUCAAAAACAAAGGAAAACAACAAAUUGGGACUCUAAAGUCGGACUCUAAUGUAACUCCUAAACGUGUAACACAAAUGUAAACACAAGCACAAACCAAACAAGAUCACUUGCCAAGAUUUGAAAGAGCACCAAGGACUCUUCCAAAUGCUUGGACUUUAAAUGGCCGUUUACAAUUCAAAACUAACACAGAAAAACUAACACAGAACCUUAUUACAAUUCAAAACAAAAUAAACAAAACAAUUCAAGUGUUGCUGCCACGGUUGUCCCAAUUUCCUUGUGUUGGACAGCUUCUGGACACUUUGGAGUCGUCUAGCUUUUGAGAUUCAACUUUCCUUUUUUUUAGUUUCUAUUGCAGCGGAACAUAAGCAAGACUCUUCACGGUUCAGUGACUUUGCUGUCAAAUGCAAAUACUGCAGAAUGAGCUUGAUUGAAAGAGCUGCUUGCUUCUAUUCACGGUGCUGGGCUACGCUGCAUAAGCACAGAACAAAAUCUGGAUUCCAGCAACAAGUGAUUCAACAGACAGGCCAAGGUCUAAAGCUGCACAGGAUUAGUUCAAUUUAGAAGAAACAAAAUAUUCAUAUUAGCAGCUUGCUCUUUUGGUUAUCUUGGAUGCAUUCCAACUUGGUCAGCUUCACUGUGCUGCACAAAGGAACAAUAAGCAAAUGGUUAAGGUUAAUUCUAAAAUCUCUCUAAAUGUCAAGAUCCUUAGCCAAGUUAGCCUUCCAAAAUUCUCUACACUCAAGAUUCUUUCUCAAGGAAAGUUGCUGUUAUUGAUCAGCACAAUUCUCACAACUACAUGUAUGAUGUUUGUGCACAUUUGUUAUUUCAGCACUCAAAAAUGGUAAAAAAAAUGGUGUGCAGCUUUGGUUUCUCGGAAACAAUAAGUGAAUUUGCUUAAUUCACACUAAACUCUCAAUUGCCAAAGUGCCGAAUCUGUUGCUGUCACAUGGAAAUUCCACACCAGAAUUUGCAGCUUACGAGUGCACUGCUGUGCCGAAUUGCAUCCUUCCAAGUGAUCUUUUCCUUCACCAAUCCUCUUCCUAAAGUGCUACCAAUUAUGUCAAGCCGUCUACAACAAUGCUGUAACCACAAAUGAACUCACACCAAUCCACAUUCAUCAAGUUUGAGUGCAGAAAUUGAGACUUUUGCUGCUGCAAUGAUAACAGAACAGAACACACCACUGGAAAUAUAACAAACAGUUGGUGUGCAGAAGUCCAAACAAUCAAAAAUCAAGCAAUUAAUCAGUGUUCAAUGAUAGAUGGCACUCAAAAGGAACUUAGGAAAGGUUCUAGAGUAGAUUUGAAAAGCAAGAAACAAAGAUAAGUUGCAAUGAUAUCCAAUUCAACUCAAAUGNUUUUUAUGUCAAAAGUGUUCGACCAAUUGUCUCAAAGAAAGAAAACUGAUACUAUGCAUCCAGUAUAGUGUUAUGGUUUGGUACGNUUUCCAAUUGCUUUUCCAAUUCAGCAUACAAGUCUAUUUUGAUUUAUGCCUUCUGUUCUUUUCUUUUAAUGAAUGAAACCAUGCAUUUUGCUACCAAAAUUCAUACACAAUGGAUGCACACUUAAUCAGCACAAUGAACAUAAAUCUGCAACUUAUUCUCAACAGAACUUAGCUGACAAAAACGCAACUGAAUUGGCUAGAUUUAGCAGUUCAUGUUAAUUGGAAAAUUGAAAGCUUCCAGCAACUUUUAAUGAUCAAAUGUGACUUAUAUCAAUGAUCAAAUUAAACAGUUCACUCCUAAAUCAAAUUUUGACUAUAUGAGUUGUUAUUUCAAGCUAAAUCAUAACCAAGACAGAAUACAACUUUCAGCACAGGAUUCAAAAGUGUUUGGAUCAGUAAAUUGGCACUUGGAGCAAAUUUUAAUUGCCAAAUAUAUCAGUUUAAGACGAUUACUAGGCACUGCACUCGGUCAAUUCAAAUUUUCACCACACAGGUUGCUCAAUUCAACCAAAAAUGAUCCAUACACACAUGGAAAUUCAUCCUAAUGCUUCAAACAAAUAUGAAACACAAUUUUAUGAAUCCAAACAGCAAGCUAAUUUGAACACAAACUCUAUAGAAUUAUGAAGAAGUCCAGACAAGGAUACUAUAGCUGGACCGAUUAAAACAAAAAAUUACAAAGAUUCUCUGCAAAGAUGUAUGCAGCACGGUUCAAGCUGCUGUGUAAUAGAUUUGGAAUCUGCAGAGUAAUGCUCUCCACUAUAAUAUCUUAAUCAUAUUUUGUGGUAUGCAUUUUCCUCUUAUUGCAUCAUAUCCAACACUCACAAGCACACAAUCAUGAGAUUAAAACAGAAUAGCAUAAAAACACAAUUGAUUGUGCGAAUAACACUUUUCCACCUGAUGCAAACCAAAUUCAAAUUUGAAACAGUUAUACUUUGUCAACCUCUGGUACUGCUUUGUUAAGGAGAUUCAAGAUGCACUAAGCUUCUAUUGAAUUACUCCAAUCAACUAUGCAGAUUUAUCCACACACGGUUGAACUUGGAAAUUGAACAUAAUGGAAACAACAAUGAACAUGACUUAGAUAAACAGCAGUAGGAUUUAAAAAAAAAAAAAAAAAAAAAAAAAAAAAAAAAAAAAAAAAAAAAAAAAAAAAAAAAAAAAAAAACUCAAAUCUAUGAAAUGAACCGAUUAAAAUGCUAAGACCAAAUCAAAUCAAAGCUGGAUCAAACAAGUGACUCAAAGGAACCUACGGAAAUCAAACAAAGCAAUGGAACAGUGAAAUCACUACAGCACACGCAAGGAAUGUUGAUGACAGUACGGAUCAAGGCAAUGACACUUAUCUGGAUCGUGAUGCAAGCCGAACCUUGCUCUGAAUACCAAUUGAUGACGUUCCAGCUUGUAGGUGAAUGAAAUUUGAGCAGCGGAAGUUAACAUGAAGCAACAGUAGUGGAGGUGGAUGUAUAUGGAUGUCGGUGUUGGAUGAAGAUGCGGCAGCGGAAGAAUUCUCAAUGAAAAUAGUGACGGUGAAAAUGAACUGAUUCAAGGUGAUGCACGGAUGAAGAGCUCGGUGGUGAAUGAAACUAGUCAGACGGCUUCCAUAAUUGGAAGGAANNNNNNNNNNNNNNNNNNNNNNNNNNNNNNNNNNNNNNNNNNNNNNNNNNNNNNNNNNNNNNNNNNNNNNNNNNNNNNNNNNNNNNNNNNNNNNNNNNNNNNNNNNNNNNNNNNNNNNNNNNNNNNNNNNNNNNNNNNNNNNNNNNNNNNNNNNNNNNNNNNNNNNNNNNNNNNNNNNNNNNNNNNNNNNNNNNNNNNNNNNNNNNNNNNNNNNNNNNNNNNNNNNNNNNNNNNNNNNNNNNNNNNNNNNNNNNNNNNNNNNNNNNNNNNNNNNNNNNNNNNNNNNNNNNNNNNNCCUUCUUUUGGUGUCCAUGUCUUCAAGCUCUUGUUGGAGCUUCCUAGCCAUGCUUCUAGUGAUGGGUCCAUGAUGGGCUUGGGCCCAAGUCAUCACAAAAUCCGGUGGCUCACAAACGCGCUAAACAUAUUGAUAUUGAUUAUCACUUUGUUCGAGAGCUUGUUCUAUCUCACAAACUCAUCACUCAAUUCAUUCCUUCUGAUCUCCAGCUAGCAGACAUAUUCACUUUGGACCAAAUCCUACGCUUUGCUUGAGGGGGAUGAUAGGAAAUAAUAUAUUUGAUUAUAGUUUACCUUAUUUAGUUUCUGCAUAAUUGAUUCUGUAUUAAAUAAUUGAUAUAUUCUUUCCUUAAUUAUGGUUAUGUACAUUUUAUAUAUUGUACGCUGGUUACUCUUUCAAGAUCAAUAAAACACAUUUGUUACAAUCCUUACAGUUUCUCUUCCUUAAACUGCUAAAUUGCACAAAAGAGUCGUCUAUAAUGAAUGACAACUCAUAUAACACCCUUGGAACCAAAAAAAUAGACACAAAACGACACUUCAGAAUCAGAAGAUCGCACCAAAAGGACUCCUUUGUUGUGCUCUGCUGAAGCUUGGUUCAGGCGAAGAUUCUGAAGCAAACAAGUGUCACAAACUUAGACAAUAUUGGCAAAAGGUUCCAGGUGUUUGAAAAUAUUAGAAAGAAACGAGUGAAUUUAUUUAUUUAUUAUUUCUCAUGAUGCAGAGGUGAACUAUAUGCGGAAUAGGUAAAAACUCAUCAUGCUGCAAGCUAGUCAACAACACUAAAUUUUUAAAGCAUAUUCAAGAACCACUAACCCGCAACAUUGCCAUCGGCAUGGCAAGAAGGGCAUACGAGUCAAUCCCACCAGAAUAUACCUGCAUACUUAACAAGAAUCCCAAUUAGGUAUACUGGAAUCAGAACAUUACAACUAAUAUUCAUAUUAUAGAGAACUCUUACCUCAUUUAGCUCUCUUUGCUGCAGAAAUACUUUCAAAAUCAAACAUAAGGGCCUUAGAGGUGGCCACUUAAGUCCUGCUUCCUACAAAAUGAACAUUACAACCAUGAACAAGAAUACACAUAAUGUUCCAUCCAAUACAGUAUAUAAUUAUUGAAAUAUAUACCUAUUGAGUAUAAUUUAAUUUUUUUAUUUAAGUUUACUCUAAUAUUUUAGUCAUAUUAUUGAAGCAAUAAUAUUAUUUAUACUUUUCAGAAGUUAAAAUACAAUAAAAGAGCAUAUUUAUAAAAAAAAAAUUAUUAUUUGACACCUAAAUUUUUUACAUUCAUUUGAUACUAUCUUUAUUUACUUCUUUCUUCUUCUUUUUUGAAAAAAUACAAAACUUUACACUUUUAUAACCAUUUUACGCUUACGUCUAUGUCAAAUGUGUUGUUAGAAGCUGACAAAAAUAGUAUUUCCUGAGGCGUGUAGAGUCAUUAUCCUUAAGGACUUAUCCGCAGUGUGUUGCGCAAGUCCCCCAUGAUACAACAGGAACUUCUCAGAAUAUUUCUGAGGAUCUCAAAACUAGCAAGGAACUCUAAAUAGAGUAUAAGAAUAACCCAAAAUAUUUUAGAAGAGAAAAACAACUAAAGAAAGAAACUCAGAAAAGAAGAGAAUGAGAAGGAACGAAUUUUGGUGUGUCUUGGAAUGGAGGAAGUGCUCCCUAUUUAUAGAGCUAGGGAAGAAUAAAAUUAAUAAAAAUCAAUAAAAUAAAAUUAAAAACAUUAAAAUUCUUAACGUUGAACACUUAAGGAAUUUUUUAUUGUUGCUCAAAAUAUUACCGUUGGCAACUAAGAACAUUAACUUUGCCAAAUCAACGUUGCAGUACAUCUUUCAACGUCUUUUUGCAAUCAACAUUUUACAACAAUCCCUCACUUAUUGCAAAAGAAAGUUAAAAGAAAAGUAUUUGACUCAAAUAGUUCAAACAUUAAAAGAGAUAAGAAAUUUUUUAUUCUGGGUUUCAUAGGAUGUAAUGCAUUAGAGCUGAUAUAGCAAGUUAUAUGAACCAGUCUUAGAUUUAGAAACUUAACACACAAUGUAGUUGGUAUAGCAAGCUAUAUGAACCAAAGACACUUGACGUGUGUUAGAGGUUUAUCAAUCACAAUACACUUGUUAACUCUCUAAAUUUACCUCUUUUUCUUGUCUUAAAAGUUUAUUUUAGUGUAUUUUAGCUUCUUAUUUUCUAGAAUUAGGUUAGUUUAGUUUUUUUUUUCUUAAUUGCAGUGUUUGGUUAAAAUAGUGUUGAUUUUUCCAUUUUAGUUAAAUAAAAUAGGUUUUUAAAUAAUUAGAUUCUUUUUAGAAAAUAUUGUAGAAAACAAAAUAAAAAUAUUUUUUUUAGUAAUGUUGUUUUUAGUUUGCAAUUUAUUUUUUUUUUUCCUAUUUGGGCUGUUUUGUGCAGAGGUGAGUUGGGAUUAGCUGGUUGAUGCUGCAAAGUGCUGAUGUGUAAAAUUGGGAUGCAACUUGUUUAGGCCUAGACCUGGAAAGAAGACGCUGAUUAGGUUGCUGCUGAAUUGAAGUAAAUUGGGCCGCUGCAUGUGCACAUCUUGGGCUUAAGUGAAACGCAGCGUAUUGGAGUCUUGGCAGCAACUACCUUAGGGGUCUCUUAUCUUCAUUCUGAUUUGCAAAAUACUUGAGCACACUUGGCAGAAAAGCUAGGUUCCAACGAGAGAGAAUGAAAGUGGUUAAAGAGAGGAACGCGACCUGAACCGAAGAAGAAGCACAAGCAAAGGUGUUGAUCGGUGAAGAAGCUCAAGAUGAUCGGAGGGCUUAGAAAGAAAGAUGAAGGAAGACCGUCCGAUGGGAAACAUGAAGCGUCAAGAUCAAGGUUCCCUUUUUCCCCUUUCCCUUUGUCUCUGACCCUAUAAAAGGGCAUGUAUAUAGACUUUUGAAGUGUGAAGGGUGGAGGGUGACAGACUCCACUCACGAGACUUUGAGAUUGCGAGAGUUCGAGUGCGUGUGAAGGGUGACAGACUUCACGAGAGCAGUGGGUGACAGACGCUGCGCGCACAGGGUUAGGGUUCGAUUCAGUUCUUCAAUUUCUUCCUUAGUUUAGGUUUAUUGCUUUUCAUAGAAUAGGUUUUCAAUUACUCUGGACUUUUGAUCGGGAAUCCACGGUGGUGACAGCCCGUGGUUGGCUCGUUUCGUUCUAUCGGUGAUAUUCCCUUGUAAAUUCCCUUUUCUAUUCAAUGAAUUUCAAUUGUGUUGCGAUUGUUCUAUUUCUUUAUUGCGAUUCUGAUUUUACUUUAGAUUUGAUGCAAUUUAAAUGUUUUCUUUUGAUUCAGUGGUAACUUUAGCUUGUUAUAUUCUUUGAUAUUGAUAUAUGAAGUUUUGUCUUGAGUUCUGAUGUCUUUAGAAAUUGAUUGAUGCAUUUUACAAUUUUUGUUGAUUCAGUACUGUUAUGUUUCACUGUUCAGAUUUUAAUUGAUUCAUUCUAUUUUUCAUGUAUGUGUUACUUUUAUGUUUCAGCAUUUAGUUUUACCCAAUUUAAGGUAUAUUUUCUGAAUUCGUUUAGUUUCAAAUCUGUUUUAAGUAGCUUUUAAUUAGGUUCUUUUGUGAGUACAAGUAACUUAGUCUCUUUCUUCAUUUUAGUUGUUGUUUGUGAUGAGUUGAAUCUGCUAGUUUAGUUUACCUUAUAGAUUUAGCAUUGCAUUGUAGUAUAGAAUAGGUUUGGUUUUAUUGUUACUGGUUUUGAUUGAAUGUGAGAGUAAGGUUGGUUUUAGUUUAGAUAGUGAUCUCCUGUUAUUUUGAAUAUUUCAUUUUAAAUAAAGUUUUGCUUCUGUUUACUAUUAGCUUAGGUAGAUCAUACUAGUUUUAGUUUUAGAUUCUGUAUCUGUUUUAGGUAGUUUAAGUUUCUAAUUUCCUAUUCUUUUAUCUCACUUUAUUUUUUUCUUUCAAACAAAUUUUAAUUCAGUUUUAAUUCUUUUCUUUUUCAUUUUAAUUUUUUUACUGUCCCUACCUUGUUUCAUAGUAAUAGUUAGUAAAUAAUAUAAGACUUUAACUCUACAUUCUUAAAACUUAAUUUUGUCGAGUCUACGGAUUGAUAUCUUGGUCAUCCCUUUACUACAUUAGUGGGGACAAAUUUUUUCUGCUUUAGGUGGCUAAAAAGCAGUUUAACAACACCCCCACAAUCCUUACUGUUAUCGCUGUGUUGCACUUACUAGGUCAUGCAUGUGCCCGAUAUUCAUGAAUGCUCUAGAGAUCAUGCUAAGAUCUCAUGCAAGCGGCCCCACUCGACACUCAUAUAGGUGAUUUCAUCUAGUGUAUGCUGCAAAUCAUACACCACCCAUAAAGGAUAUGAAAAUCAUUAAAAACUUUUUAAACUAAAAUUUUUUCACCACAUAGAAUUUUAAUAACAAAGUUUAGCCUCUCAAUAAUGCAGUCUUAGCACUUUCACACACACCACGGGAAGGGACAUAAUUGAUUAAAAUCAAUUUAGUGCUAUCAGAACUAACAAGUGACUUGUUUUUACCUAUAUGAACCUUAUUAAUGGGAUCUCCAAUCACAAAGGUUGGGUUACCAUCACUUGUUUGUUUGCAAGUGGCUUAAGUCUCAUUCCCCUCGAUGUUUUUAAUAUCAUUUGUCUUCCAGGGGUUUUGUUAGAGGAUCUGCUAAAUUCCGUUCUGACUUCACAUAAUCAAUGGAAAUAGUUUCACUCUUUAGUAGUUGUUUCACCAAAUUAUGUCUCAAUUGUAUAUGUUUAUUCUUUCCAUUGUAAUUAUUGUUUUUAGCUAUAGCUAUUGCCGAUUGGCAAUCACAGUGUAUUGACACCGAUGGGGUUGGUUUCAUUCCUAGUGGAAUGUUUGCUAAGAAGUUUUUCAACCACUCAGCCUCACUAUCAGCCAUCUCAAUAGCAACAAACUCAGAUUCCAUUAUUGAUCUUGCAAUAAUAGUUUGCCUGGCUGAUCUCCAUGUAAUCGCACCACACCCAAGUGUGAAUACAUAACCACUAGUGGAUUUUGUCUCGUCUGAAUCAGAGAUCCAGUUAGCAUCACUGUACCUUUCUAGUAUAGUGAGAAAUCCACUAUAUUCAAUGGCAUAAUCCAUUGAACCUCUUAAGUAUCUCAUAAGCUUAGCAAGUGCAUCCCAAUGUUCCUAAUAUGUACAUUGAGUGUACCUACUCAGUCUACCUACUGCGUAAGCAAUAUUAGGUCUAGAAAAGCUCAUCAAGUGCAGUAAACUCCUAAUUAUCUAGGCAUAUUGAGUCUGAGAUAAUGAUUCUCCUAUAUUUUUCAUUAUUUAGAAUUAGCAUCAUAAGGGGUACUCAUUGGUUUUAAGUCAUAAAACCCAAACUUCUUAAGAAGUUUCUUAAUGUAUUAUUCUUGAGAUAGUAAUAUAUUAUCUCCCUACCUUAUGAUUCUAAUACCUAAAAUCACAUUGGCUUCAUCCAUGUCUUUUAUUUCAUAGUUUGAUCCUAGAAACAAUUUAGUUCUAGCAACAAUUUCAUUACAUGUACCAAAGAUUAACAUGUCAUCCACAUACAAGCAUAUAAUGACACAAUCACCAUUUUCAGAUUUAGAGUACAUACACUUAUCAGCAUCAUUAGGUGAAAAACCAUCACAAAGCAACACAUUAUCAAGUUUUUCAUGUCAUUUUUUGGUGCUUGUUUCAACCCAUACAAGGAUUUUAAGAGUUUGCAUACUUUCUCCUCUUGACCAGGUACAACACACCCUUCAGGUUGAGUCAUAUAAAUUUCUUCCUCUAAAUCACCAUUCAAAAAGGUUGUUUUAACAUCCAUCUGAUGUAUCACUAGUUUAUGGAUAGCUGCUAGAGCUAAUAAAACUCGGAUAAAGGAAAUCCUGGUCACAGGAGCAAAAGUAUUAAAGUAAUCUAUGUUGGGUUUUUGUGUAAAACCUUUUGCUACUAAUCUUGCCUUAUAUUUUUCUAUGGAUCCAUCAGGGUGAUACUUUUUCUUAAAGAUCCACUUACAACCAAUGGGUUUUACUCCUUUAGGCAAAUCUACUAAAGUCCAAGUAUUGUUUUUCUGAAUUGAUUCAAUUUCAGUCCUAAUGGCUUUAUCUCACUGUUUUGCAUCAAGAGCAUUAGUAGCUUCUACAAAGCUUGUUGGAUCACUAUCAAUAAGAUAAGUAUAAAAAUAAUCUCCAAAUGAAGUUUCCUUUCUCUGUCUUUUACUUAUUCUCAAAUUGUCAUUCAUAGUAUCACUAUUAUUAUUAUCAUCAAUAGGUUGAGACAUUUCACUAACCUUUAAGGGAAACAUAUGUUCAAAAAACUCAACAUUUUUCCUCUCCAAUAUAGAAUUUCUCUCAAGUAUGUUAAUUUUAACAACUAGAAACCUAUAGGCAGCACUAUGUUCAACAUAACCUAAGAACAUGCAAUCAGCGGUUUUAGAGCCUAUUUUCCUUUUCUUAGGAUCGGGUAACAUUACUUUAGUUAGGCACCCCCACACUCUUAGAUGUUUAAGGUUAGGUAGUACGAAAGGCUUCUCCCCAAAGGUUAUCAAGUGCACCAGAACUAACAAGCAUAGCAUUCAUCAUUUCCUUAAGGGUUCUAUUUUUCCUCUCAGCUACUCCAUUAGACUCGGGUGAAUAUGGUGGGGUCACUUCAUGGAUAAUCUCUUCUUUAACACAAUAGUCAUUAAACAAAACAUACUUACCACCUCUAUCUGAUAUAAUCCUCUUAAUUUUCUUAUUGAACUGAUUUUCUACUUCUGCUUUAUAGGUUAAAAACACGUCAAAGGCUUCAUCUUUAUGUUUGAUUAAGUAAACUUUGGUGUAUCUAGAAUAAUCAUCCAUAAAGAUCACAAAAUAAUUUUUACCUCCUUUAGACAUGGUUUGUUUCAUAUCAGCUAGAUCAGUAUGAACUAAUUCUAACUGUUCAGUUUGGCGUUCUACUGAAAAACAUGUUUUCUUUGUUAAUUUAGAUUCUACACAUAUAUCACACUCAAUACUUUCUUUAUCAUGCAUAUUAAUCAAUCCUAGUCGUUGUAAUUUCAAAACAUAUGAGGAAUUCACAUGACCUAAUCUGGCAUGCCAUAUAUCAUACGAGUCAACAGUAUAAGCAGAAGAACUAGAUUCAUUCAUAAUUUCUGAAAUGUUAAGUACAAAGAGACCUUGAUCACAAUAUCCCUUCCCCACAAAAACAUUAUUUUUUGUCAUAAUGAUCUUGUCAGGCUCAAAUGACACUUUAACCCCCACCUUCCCUAACAGUGCUACAUAGAUUAAAUUAACUCUGAUUGAUGGCACAUGUAGCACAUCACUCAAGGCUAGAGUCUUUCCAGAUGUGAGUUUGAGAAGAAAUUUUCCUUUUCCUAGAACAGGAGUGGUGCUGGAAUCACUGACGUAGAUGUGUUCUUCUCCAUCCCCUACACUAGUGUAAGAGGUAAAGGCACUUCUGUUUGCACAGAUAUACCUGGUAGCACCAGAGUCUACCACCCACUUGCUCAUAUUGGUCAUCAGAUUUGCUUGAGAAAUGACCACAACAAUAAUGUCAUCUCCUUCGGCUAAAUUUGCCCUAGGAGGAUUGUCAUUUCUUACUCUACGCCAGGUGGGUUUAGAUUUAUUGGGACGGGAUUUAAGAAAAUCAUUUUUCUUUUUGUGAUCAGGUUUGUGUGCGUACCUUUUGGGAGCAGUAACGUCCGGAAGUGAUUUUGCGAAGACCGUCUGGGUUCCAGAAACAAUGGUUUGGCUCUCCGAAGGCAUGUUGUUGACAUCAUCUUUAAGUCCUUAAGAUUGUUGUUAGAAGCAGACAAAAAUAGUAUUUCCUGAGGCGUGUAGAGUCAAUGUCCUUAAGGACUUAUCCGCGGUGUGUUACACAAGUCUCCUAGGAUACAACAGGAACUUCUCAGAAUAUUUUUGAGGAUCUCAGAACCAGCAAGGAAUUCUAAACAAAGUAUAACAAUAACCCAAAAUAUUUUAGAAGAGAAAAAGAGCUAAAAAAGAAACUUAGAAAAGAGGAGAAUGAGAAAGAAUGAAUUUUGGCGUGUCUAGAAAUGGAGGAAGUGUUCUCUAUUUAUAGAGGUAAGGAAGAAUAAAAUUAAUAAAAAUCAAUAAAAGAAAAUUAAAAACAUUAAAUUUUUAACGUUGAGCACUUAAGGAAUUUUUUAUUGUUGCUCAAAAUAUUACCGUUGACAAUUAAGAACAUUAACUUUGCCAAGUCAACAUUGUAGUAGGUCUUUCUUUCAACACCUUUUUGCAAUCAACGUUUUACAACAAAAUGAAUGUAAAAAUGUGUUAUAGUAUGAUUCCUCUAUUUAUAAUGAUAACUUAAUUAGAUUGCACAAAAAUAUAAGAAAAAUUACAUCUGUAAUUUAAUUAUAACUUCAUAUUUAUUGUAAUAUUCAACUUAAAAAUGAAUCAUUCAAUUUUUAUGUAUUUAAAUCUUAUUUUACUGAAUAUUAUAAAUAGAGGUUUCAUUUUAUUAAAAAAAUAUAUAGAUAGAUGAAAAAAAAAUUAAAAAUUCAUUUGCAUGAAAAUAUUAUGAAGAAAGAUAUCAGUCAGUGUAUCAUUGAUUAAGUAUUUACUCGAAAAUAAUCUAUAAAUUAACAGUAUAAAGAUUUGUAUACUAACUAUCAUGCAUGAAAUACUAAGUUUUUUAGAACAACUAAUUAAAGUUUCAUUUUAUAUAAAUUUUAAGUUUAAAUAUAUUUUUAAUCUCAAAGUAUUUUUUAUUUUGUUUCUUUAUUAAUUUCUUUAAAAUUAAGGAUUAUUAUUUUUUUCCUAAUAUUAUAUUAUGUGACACUAAUAAACUAACGGAAAGCUUAUAUCAUCAGCAUUAUAAUUUUUGCCAUUUAUACCUUUUAAUUAUAUAUUUUUUAACUUUUAAUCAUGUUUUAGUUAUGUUUAUUGAUUUCUUUUACUUAAACAAUUUAUUUUCAACUUCCAAUUUUAAAAAACAUUAAAUUAUAUUUUAUUUUACUAUUGCUACAAUUUUCAACUAUCCAGAUUACAAUAUGCUUUUUUUUACCUGUUAGAAAGAAAGAAUUGCAGGUUUCUACUUUCUGGAUUGUUUCGGUGUGAAUUUCUAGGACCGAAAGAACUGACCUGGAUGACGUGGCACUCCCGCUUUGUGUUGCUUGAUUAAGUAGAUUAGUGCACCUUCUCUCGUGUGUUGAACGUCCGCUCUCUUUCAAUCUUCAACCGUCCGGAAAUCUCCAGUCUCUGACCGGAGGGGGGAGGUACCUGUAAUGGCACUCCGACGUCCAAGUUAGGGUGUAGCAGUGAAGAGCCUUGAGUGCAAGGCCAAGAUUCUCAAUAUGAGAAUGUGGAGUGAAAUCACUCGGAUAAUUCAGAAUGAAUUAGGUCAAGAAUCGCAAGUAUACUGUAGAGCAAAAUACCAUAAGAGAGAACGUACCUGACAUGUGAUUCCAGCCCUGUAUAUAUAGAUUAUUUAUCAAAUAUAAACAUAAUAUAAUAUAAACAGCUAUACCUGGAUAUCUGGUUGUUCAGAUCUUAUCUAAUAUAAUAUUUGUUAAGAUAUAAAUAUGAUGGAUUAUAUCCUCAUGAGAGGCUGUUGGCCCAAUAAUAAGGACCCAUCAUUUAUGAUCAAGGCCCACUAAUCUUUUGGACCAUUCAGUUACUAGUCGUAACCGUUCGGCACAAAUAGCAUAUCGUACAUGGAUGAUCAUAUUUUGGUCUUCUUCUUUAUCUUAAAACACUUUUUGCAAAUAUGUAGUAUAGCUCAUUUUUUAGGUCUUGUAUUUGGUCAAGACAUUUUGCUUAGCUUUGUUUAGAAGGUUUGGUGGCUUUAAGAGUUAGAAAUGGGUUAAAAAUGAGUUUUGGAAGGAGUUAGUUGCAAGGAGCCUUUUUGACUAAGUUAGUUAUAAAGCAUAAGGCUCCUCAUAUUUAAUGUUUAGGCUCCUCAUUUAAUUUCCUCAUUUAAUGAUUGAGAGACUCCUAAAUACUCAAUGUAUUCUAGCCUUUUCCUUCACCUAUAAAAGAAGAUGCACUCUUUUGUAAUCCUUAGAACUUUGAUUAAAUGUAUAGUACUUUUGCCAAAAUUGCAAGGCUUCUCUUCUUGAGUUCUCCCCUUAUGAAAUGUCUUCUUCUAAACCUCUUCAUACGUACCUUCUCCUUUAUGGUUGGCCUAACCUUCUAGAAGGACAUCUACCAAGACCAUACAACACCACAUCUUCAUCACUUCAUCUCUAUUUACUUCCGCUAUGGAGUCCACUCCUUUGAAGAAGCUUUCUCAACUCAUCAUGAAAAUCGUCUUAUGUUGAAGGAGCUUCCUCAAAGCAACCUCGAUCAAAUUAAGUACUUUACAACCAUGAACAAGAAUGCACAUAAUGUUCCAUCCUAUAAUUUAAUUAUUAAAAUAUAUACCUAUUGAGUAUAAUUUAAUUUUUUAUUUAAUUUUACUCUAAUUAUUUGUCAUAUUAUUGAAGCAAUAAUAUUAUUUAUACUUUUUAGAAGUUAAAAUACAAUAAAAGAGCAUAUUUAUAAUGAUAACUUAAUUAGAUUGCACCAAAAAUAUAAGAAAAAUUAUAUUUGUAAUUUAAUUAUAACUUCAUAUUUAUUGUAAUAUUCAAGUUAAAAAUGAAUCAUUCAAUUUUUAUGUUUUUAAAUCUUAUUUUACUGAAUAUUAUAAAUCGAGGUUUCAUUUUAUUAAGAAAAUGAUAUAGAUAGAUGGAAAAAAAAUUAAAAACUCAUUUGCAUGAAAAUAUUAUAGUGUAUCAUUCAUUAAGUAUUUACUCGAAAAUAAUCUAUAAAUUAAUAAUAUAAAGAUCUGUAUACUAACAAUGCAUGAAAUACUUAGUUUUUUUAGAACAACUUUAUAUGUAAGAUAAGACAUUUUUAUAUUAAGUGUAACAGUCAUAUUAAACAAUUUUGUACUAUUAAUCAAUUAAAGUUUCAUUUAAUAUAAAUUUUAAAUUUAAAUAUAUUUUUAAUCUUAAAGUAUUUUUUAUUUUGUUUCUUUAUUAAUUUCUUUAAAAUUGAGGAUUAUUAGUUUUUUUACUAAUAUUAUGUGAGCUUAUAUCAUCAGCAUUAUAAUUUUGGCCAUUAAAUACCUUUUAAUUAUAUUUUUUAACUUUUAAUCAUGUUUUAGUUAUUUUUAUUGUUUUCUUUUACUUAAACAAAUUUUUUUCAAUUUUCAAUUUUAAAAAAAAUUAAAUUAUAUUUUAUUUUACUAUUGUUACAAUUUUCAACUAGAAAAAUGAUAUUUUAAUACCAUUUUUUUUACAUCAUUUUGACAGCCGCACACGUGUCAAAAUGUGGUUGAACGAUUUUAAAUUAAAAAAAAAAAACUUUGGUUUUUCUCUUCCAAAUAUGUCCUUAUCUCAGUUUUUUUAAUUUGAAAUCGUCCAACCACAUUUUGACACGUAUGCAAUAUCAAAAUGGUGUCAAAAAAUUAUGUUAAAAUAUCAUUUUGCAAAGAAAAAUUACAAAUAUAUUUUUAUUGUCUGAAGACUAAAUAAUAUAAAAUAAACCCCGAAGUCGAAGUAAAAAAAUAUAUAUUUUAAAAAUUACUAGAAAUUAUAUUAAGCAGCACGAAAUAACUGAAAUAAUUCCAGAUUAAUGAAAGUUGAUAUUUCAAAAAUUAUUUAAUUUUAGUUAUAAUUUAGAAAAGUUGAUGGUGUGUCCAAAACAAAACUAGCUGCAAGAUGUAAACGAUGUAAACCAAUGGGAGUGUCUUAGUGUCGUCGCUUCAGUUUCAUCUCAUCCACACAAUAAUAGUAUCAAUAUCUGCCAAAAAAAAAGUAGAAAUAAUAUUGGGAAUUGUAACAUAGUUCAACACAACACUUUCCACAAUUCUUCUCCUGGACCUGGGAUUCUCGCAAUCAUGGCCACCGUGCAACUUCAAUCCCUAACCCUCACUCGCUCUUCUACACUCCCUUCCCUCACCUCUCCACCGAUUCCCGUCACCGCCCGCCGCAACUCCGCUGCGCUGCCGCGUUACUCUGGCCUCCGGCUCCGAGCUACCGUUGGAACCGUUUUUUCGACUUGCGCCGCCUCGAGAACCACUCCUCGUGGCGGACGCAUCGCUUGUGAGGCACAGGAUACCGCCGUCGAAGGUUACGUUUCGAUUUCGUUGCGAAGAUUUGUUGUUUAGGUUCUGUGCGAGUUUUGUGAUGUCGUUUUGAUUUGUUAGAUGUUGUAUGAAAUUUCCUUUCCGCUGUGCGGAUGUGGAAUGGUAUAAUGAUUGAAUUAUUCCAAAGAUUAUGCUAAUGAUUUAGCCUUUGCUAAGAAAAAGUAGAACUGUUUUUUUUUUUUUUUUCAUUUGAUAUCCUUUUCUUUUGUAUUUUGAUUUUUCUUUGACGCCUAAUAUGUUGUAGAUCUGGACUUCUAGUUUUUGGUUGUUUCUUACAACUGUGCAUAGUUUGAAAUGUUUCUUACAUAAUUAUCUGUUUUGUGGUGAGAAAAAUGGAAUAUCUGGAAUUGUUUGAAGAGUUUUUCCUUGUAUAUACAUGUACCUGUGUUUUAUAACCUAACUAUAUCUCUAUUGGCAACAGGACUAAUUUUACGGUGUUAGCUUAUCAUGCUUGUAGUCAUAAGUUUAGUAAACAACCGAAACAGAAACUACAUCAUCAUUUAAAGUCACUCUUGCAGGCUUUUUCAUUUUCUUCUGUAAUGUUUCACAUCGACCCAUUACAUGUAAUGUAAGGUUAAAUAUUUGAAUGAACGUAUUAUUAUAAUCAAUUCCUUCCCUCUUGGUGAAGUCUCUAGCAACCCAUCUUGCCUUGAAUCUUUUCUAAUCAGUUUCUAGAUUUUUUUUUUGUUUGAGAAUGCAUUUACAACUGAUCAUCCAAGAGCCAACAUGUUUAUGAACCAAAUUUUAGGUAUUGUUCAAACGAGGGGAUUCAUCUCCUCCUUCAUGGCAUCUAACUUGAGUUUUCUCCUUACAUGCUAGAGUAGGCAAUACACUUAAGGGUUCAUCCUGUAACACGUCACUAACAACUACUAAGGAGAACGCAAUAAGAUUUACAUAUUCAUUCAUACCUUUUUCAAAGCUUUGAUUGUUCUCCUUGUUCUAAGACUGACAAUACUAUAAUUAUCAUUAGCGUGUUUGUCUUCAUCGUGUCCGACCCUUCUUCUACAAGGUCAUCUAAUUCAUCCUUCUGUAGAAAGUCAGACGCCAUGCCAAUCUCUGCUGCAACAUUUUCCUUUUUACUAUCAUGAUUAAUCCAAGACUCACAUUCUGAAACUUUUGACUUAUAAGUCAUUUUAAAAUUUAUGUCUAUACACAUUCUCUAUAUCAUAGAAACAUGCAUUUAACAACACAUGCUUCUAGGUUUGCUUGCCUUAUAUGAGCAUAUGCAACAAAGCCAAAUAUUCUCAGAUCAUCAAGGUUGGGAGAAUGCUUUUGAUUGAAUUUCCUCAACACGUAAUAGUAACAACUUAAGCCUACAACACCUUGGGAACUCCAAUUGGGUUCUCCACCAGGCACUUCCAGCUUUUGAUGUUUUCAAAUGUUUCAUCUUUAGUUUAUUAGGGUAGACCCACAUUGGUAUGUUGUUUGGACCUAGUAGACCAUCUGGGUAUGAAUUAUUGUAGGACCUAGUAGUCCUGCUGACGCCGCCGACUCCGAGUUCGUUUUUUUCAAAUCCUAUUUUAUUCAGUGCCACCCGGAUCAUUUUGUGGUGUUUUGAUUUGAUUUAUUGUUAUUUGGAUUUCUAGACCUGAUAUUAUUAUUAAUUAUGGUUGUCUUUCAUUAUACAAUUAUAUUUCUGCAUAUUUCUUUUUCUUUUUAAAUUAUCAUUAUGCAUUGUAUUUUUUUGUCUGUGAUGCUUCCACCAUAAUCCAUUAUAGCUUUCGAUAUAUUUUCAUAGAAGAUUUUUGGGGUCCCGGGUAAUUUGUUAUUCGAUGUCCAUAACACUGAUGAAGCUUAUGUUGACUGCAAUUGCAUAGAUGUAUUUAGUUUUUGCAAAUUGAUGAGACGGAACCUCUUGAUCUAUAAUGGUUAAUCCUUAUGUCAUUGAAAGAGAGAAACAAAGAAGCUGUUUUAGAAUGCUAGAGCCAAUUCGCAGUAAUAGAGGAGAAAUUUAAUAUCAGAUAUGGUCUAAUUCCAAUCUUGAGAUAAGGUAUUUUUCUUUUCUUGUCAGAGGAUGAGAUUAUAGCUAUCAUGUUCCCUUUUAGAAUUUUUCUUGUGCUCGACUUGGCAAUGAUUAUGGUGUUAGAUAUCACUACCAUUGAGAUAAUUGCAAGAGAACGAAAUUUUGUCGUAAAAAUGGUUUAGCCUUUUUCUGACAAAAUUGGGUUUGAUGCUUUCUAUUGUAUAGUUGUGAUAUCCUGUACUAAUAUUAAUCUAGUAGUUUUUUAGCAUUAAGGAUUGAUGGCCUGAUGGAACAACAACUAGUCUUUGUGUUGGUACGAUGUCAUUGAAGUGACAUUUUACAGGCCUUUGACUGCUAUCUUUUCUGUGUUUUUGCUUUUGCUUUGUUUGGAGGAGCUUACUUGGAAGGUAUACUUUUUGGUAGUGUUGAAACAAGACUCCUCUCAGAAAAAAAAAAAAAAACAUUGCAGUUUUUUUUUCUUUGCCAUACAACCUAAAAAUAUUUUUAAAUUUUUAGUAGUAUUUUUUUUUUUUUUUCAUUUUGCCCGUUUGUACUUCAUUUGGCUGGUAUGGGCAUGUUUUACAUUUUAGCAUCAUCACUCGUCAUUGUACUCUAUGAGAAGCACGUGGAUAUUAAUUAUCUGCUGCCUUACAUUUCCGGAGUAUUGUUGCAUGCCUUAGUAAAAUACUUGCUAAAGUGAAACAAUUUGUAUCAUUGAAUAUUGCAGUGACUGCUAUUACUGAUGCAAACUGGCAAUCACUUGUGCUUGAAUCCGAGACUCCCGUACUGGUUGAAUUCUGGGCUCCAUGGUGCGGUCCCUGCAGAAUGAUCCACCCGAUAAUCGAUGAACUGGCCAAGGAAUAUGUUGGUAAGCUGAAGUGUUACAAACUCAAUACUGAUGAGAGCCCUUCAACUGCCAGCCGUUAUGGGAUUCGAAGUAUUCCCACUGUCAUUAUUUUUAAGAAUGGUGAGAAGAAAGAUACAGUUAUUGGAGCUGUGCCCAAGACAACAUUGACCUCAAGCAUAGAAAAAUUCCUGUGAGCAAAUGAAAGUAAAGCUAUUUUUCUCGUUAGCUUCCUCUCAUCUAAGCCAAAUAUCAGGUUGGGAUUAUUUGUUUCUUAAAUAACCAUUUAUGGUCCUGUAUAGUUAUGGAUGCAAACCAUAUUUUCUGAUUUCUUUAGAUAAUUAUAAUUAACAAUGUGUUGCGUAAAUUUGCCAUCUAUUAUAGCUGAAAUUAAAUCUAUUUUGCAUCUUGGCCCAUGUUUCUUCAGUUCUUAACCGUUCACAUAAGUGGCUGAAGAUUGUGUGGUCACGUGGGGGCUACGAAACAAAUUCUCAUUAAAAUGAGACAAAUGUAGUUGAAAAGAAAAAUCUUAUCAAAAUGAGUAAUUGAAGAUUAGUUAAUGAAUAUUUCAUGUCUAUAUCGUAAUUUAAAAAUGUCGUGUGAUAAUGCUCACGCAAAUUCCUUUAAGGAUCUGUCUGUCCAUAUGGGUGUUUUCACAACUAUAGACAUUGAAAACACAUGGGUGUUUUCACGAGUAAAACCUUUUUGUUGCAUAAAUACCAUCAUUAAUGGUAGUUCCUUCUGUCUAGGUUGGGACUGGAAACAAAAUUGUAUUUUCUCAUGAGAUGUAUGAAAUGUAUUUCAUUCAUGAGAUACUUUGUAAAUGGAUGUGCCAUGAAGCCCAAAUGUUGGUUGGACUGGGUGGUUAUACAUUCUUGUCUCAACCAAGGUUGUGGUAUAGAUGUCCCUUUGGGUGUGAAGUUACAACACUUAGGAGCACAUAACACUUUUGUAGGUCGAUUUAAUGCGAAGAGGAAUUAAUCAAAUCCAUUAAUCUAGGUUAGGUACGAAGAAAGUGGCACGAAAUGAGAGAAAAUAUUGAGAAGGAAGUUCAAAAGGUGGUGAGCGAAAACUCUUUUGGUGCUUCAAUACCAUACUAUAUUUAAGUUUCUUUUGAUUUGGGGUAUGUUUGUUGAAAGAGAAAAGAAAUAGAGAAAUAAGGAAAUAAAUUGAAAUAAAAUAGAUAAAAAUAAAUAAGAGAAAAUGAAAGAAAAGAUUGUUUGGUUCAACAAAAAUAAAUUAAAAUUUAUUUUUAAAGAUUGCUUUAGGAAGAAAAUCAAUAUUCUUUUUUAUUGUAUUGGUGUUUUACUAUUUAUUUUUAUUACUGAUUACAUCAUCUUAUUAUUUUUAUUUUUAAUAUUUUUGUUGAUAAUUAUCAUACUAAAUGGGAGAAGAGCUUAUGAAAGGCAUACUAAAAAAUGAAUUGGAUGAUGGAGUGCUGACAGGCCCAAAAUCAAAUUGAUUGAAAAUAAAAGGGUGUUGCUCUCUACACCUCUCUAAGUGGGACAUGUAUUUCCCCAUUAAUUUAAUUUAUUUCAAAAAUAUUUUACAUUUUUCCACUAUUUUCUUUUAUUCCAAAAAUACCCUACAUCUUCCCACUAUUCUUACCAAUCUUUCUCUUUUUCUCUCUACAUUAAUGGAGAAUAUACAUGGCUCAUUAAUGGAACAUUUAUAUGACUUAAAUUUAAAUAUAUUUUCUUAAAUAAGUUUGGUUCAAUCUUAUUGUCGUUGUUGAAUAUAUUUUUUUAUUUUCAAAUUACUUAAUAAAUGGUAAAAUUUUGUUCUAAAUUUCUAGAAAAAUGUUUAUAUACAUGUAUCUUUUUUUUUUUUUACAUAUAAUAUCUGUAUCUUUUUUUUUACAUAUAAUAUCUAUAAUUUUUAACAUUAUACUAUGUUUUAAUUCACCGACAUGUUUGAUUCAAAUAACUUGAAUAAAAUAUUUAAUUUAUUAGAUAAAUAAUAUAAAAAUAUUNUAUUUAUUAAAGAUUUAGAAUUUAUUUAGUUCUUUCGUCAUUAUAAAGUUAUAAUAAUAAUAAUAAUAAUAAUAAUAAUAAUAAUAAUAUAUCAUUAUUUACUAUUAAUAUUAUUAUGUUUAUUAUUUUGUAUUUGCAUCUAACUUUUAAUUUUAUAAAAUGAAAAUGGUAGAAGUACUAAUAUUAAAGUUUCCUCUGAAUUUUAUAUUUUGUAGUAUGUUACAAAUUCAAAUCUGAACCACGUAAAUGCUCCAUUAAUGUAGAGAGAGAAAAAGAAAGAUUGUUAAGGGUACUAGGAGGUGUAGGGUAUUUUUAGAAUAAAAAAAAUAGUGGAGAGGUAUAGAAUAUUUUUGAAAUAAAUUAAAUUAAUGGGGUGCGGAGGUGUAGGGAACAACACCCAAAAUAAAAAUGUACACAAUCCAUUAACUUAGAGCAGCAAUAUUUCUAUUUUAGAAUUUAUUUUCUUUUCGGGAAUCUCAGGCAGUGUAUUUAUUUUUUCAAACACUUAUGUACUAUUCAUCUUUUAUUUCUUUUUUCACCUUUCUUUUUUUAUUUCUCUCUUCUUUUUUUCUAAUAUCAAAUGUAUCCUUAGAUUGUAUUUCAUAUUCCAAUUAAUCACGAACAAUUCUUUAUUUUCUCAUAUAAACUGGAAAGCAUCAAAAUAUAAAGGAUUCUUGACACUUAUCUCUGAUAAUUUUUACUAAAAAAAAAUAUGAAGUAGAUUAAUUAUAUAUAUAUAUAUAUAUAUAUAUAUAUAUAUAUAUAUAUAUAUAUAUAUAUAUAUAUAUAUAUGGUUUAAUACAUAAUUUGGUAUCUAGUUUUGAGUUUUUUUUUGUUCAAAGCCGUCUGACCAUUUAAAAAAAUUCAGUAAGACUCCAUAUUUGUUAAAAACGGUUCAAAAUAUUCUUUUUAGCUUACGGUGUUAAAAAUAUAACGGGACAAUUGCUCAUCUGAUCAAAAGUGAAUGAGGUGUCCAGUUUCUGAGGUCAAUUAAUAUGAAAAUUUUAAAAAUAAAAGUUAAUGAUGUGAAAAAAAGUCUAACAGAAGGUUAAAUGAAAUAAUGGUUAAAUGAAAUUGUUGUUGUGUGUCAUGACUAAUUGUAGUGUGGUGGUUCCCUUCUCCUUCACCAUGUCCAUCAUCUACCUUUUCUUCACCUUCAUUAUCACCAUAAACCUCCAUUCUUUUUAACACAGAUAUUAUCACAACUCACCUGUACAAAUAGAAAAACAAACAACCCAUUACCCCUUUCUUCAUCCAAAACCCACAAUCAACGCACCAUUCCAGCACUAUCAUUUUUCAAGUUCAACGCAUAUAUAAUAACAUUCUCGAAACCCAUACGGUCAUCAUCCAAAACCUUCAUUUUCUUUCCCUUUCUCCUUUGUCCAUUCAUGCAUAGAGAAUACAAAAAACAAAGGAGAGUCAUCAUUCCACCACCACCCAACACAUUAAACGCUGGAAUCACAAAGCAAUUAAAAACAGGGAGCAAGGUUAGGAGAAAUCCCAAAUUGCAAGAUAAUGAACACCAAAACCUAAAACGCGAAAUCAACCCAAGAAAAAGAAACUCAAUUCGCAAACAAAGAAGAGAACCCCAAAACGUAAAAAUCAACCCUGAUUCAAAAUCUUAAUCUAAAAUCCUUAAAAUUUGCAAGAUCUAAAACACAAGAAAAGGAAACCCCAAAAUGCUGCAAUUUGAAAUUCCCUUCUUGCAAAACACUCUCGAACCAUAAUGAAGUGGGAGGAGAAACCCUAUGUUGUGUCUUCAAGUUGGAGAUUUUCACAACACUGACCUGACUUAUGUUGCGUUUUCAAGGAAUCACCAAGCCAUUUCAAUUGAAGACCACUUUCACCAGAUUCUUCAACCCAGAAAUCGCGAAUGGAUUCUAAGAUAAAGGUAAUUUCAUUUAACUCUUAAACCUUGCUCACGUCAUUCACUUUUUCUUAAUUUACAACUUCAAAUAUAUCAAACGUGCCACGUAUUGCAAAACAUGUACACAUCAUUUAGUUUUGGCCGCGAAAACAAUUACACCAUUAUGUUUUUAACGCCGUAAGCCAAGAGGACCAUUUUGAACAAUUUUUAACAAAAUAUGGAGCCUUACUAAACUUUUUUAAAAGGUAGGAUGACUUUGAACAAAAAACACAACAAUAGAGACCAAAUGAUGUAUUAAACCUACAUUUUUUAUGAAACAUAACUCAGACCAUCUUUAAAUUCACUUAAUUUAGUAGUACCAUGUUACUUAAAUUUAAGGUAAAUGAUCGGACAUAUAUAUUUUAAUCUUUAUCAAUUAAUGUAGUCAAUCCUUACCAAGUUUUGAUCAUAAUAAAUGUUUCAGAGGUGGAAUCGAGAACAACUCUAUCACACUUUUUUGUUAGUUUUUUAACGUUAUCUUGGAUUUCCAUUACAAUAGUUCUCAGUCUUCUUCCUUUAGUCUUUAGGCUGAACGGAUGAAUACUUGUAAAAGGCACUCCAACGCUAAAGUUAGGUAAACGAAUUUGAUCGGUUAUCACAUAAAGUUUUAUAUUUUCAAUAAAUGCAAUCACCUACCUUCUUACCUUAUCUAUGUAUGUAUAAGUUUUAAAGUGGGUUUUGACUAAGAUUGGUCCAAUUACAGUCUAAAAGUCCAUAAGUGCGCUUUACCUGUUUUUACUUGUUUAAAAUUGUUAAUGAUAUCAUUUUUAAGUGUGUUAGAUAUAUUUUUAUCUUUUAGUUUUAGUUAGUUUGUUAUUAUUUCUUAUCCUUAUUUUGGGCUUAACCCAUAUUUCUUUUCUUAUAAAUAGAGGACCAUAUGUGUAUAUUCAAAACAAGAGAGAUUAAUCUCAUCAUAGUUUUCACUAUAUAUAACAUGGUAUUUAGAGACAGGUUAUUUUGAGGAAAAAAUUUUCUGUUGCCUUUGUCACUCCACCAAUGGCACCAUCUACCGCUACCGAUGGUGUCAUCAUUUACCACCAUCGUCUAAUUACCACUAAUAGAGUUUCAAUUUUGACCAACGAUCACACGAUUUUGAUCGUCUCGGCCAGACGACCAUCAUGUCGUCAACGAUGUCUUCAUUGGAGCUUCUACGCACUUUCAACACCUUUUAAAGUUGUGGAUCUACUGUUUUUUUCAUUGUGCGUGGUGGCACGUCUCGUCUCCUCUUAAGCAAAAAUUCAGAGCGUCACAUCACUCUUUUUCCUCUUUCAGGUUCAUUGUGCGUGGUUGCUUGUCACGUGUCCUCUCAAGCAACUAUUUAGAGCAUCGAGGUUGCUCUUUUUCCUCGUUCAAGUGCCUUAAUUCAAGAAUCUUUGAUUUUUAAGGUUUCUUUCUCAUGUUCAUCAAUGGUUUAUUCUGUUGCUGUCUCUUUUGACCUCCUUUUUGUCACCAUUGUGUUUGACCUAUCUAUAUAUGCUUUUUCUCCUAUGAAAAAGAUUGUUUUUGUUAGUUUAUACUCAUGGUGGCUCUUCAACAAUAACCUCUUUUUCCAUUGGAUAUCAAUAAUACAUUCCUCAAUGACAAUUUGUAAGAAGAGAUUUAUAUGGAGCAACCUCCCAGAUUUGUUGCUUAGGGAGUUUUCUGGAUUGAUAUUUCAUAUUCUAUGUCGUCUUUGCAAAUCAUUACCAAUUCAAUGUCAUUCGAGUGCAAAAGUUAAUAUUUUCACUAAGUCUAUUGAUUAUAUUAGGAGCACGCUUACUACAUACGAUUUGUAUUCACAAGCUUGAGGGGGAGUGUUAGUUAUAUUAUGUUUACCUUAUUUUUAUGUUUUUAGUUAGUUUGUUAUUAUUUCUUAUUUAUAUUUGAGCUUAAUGUUGGGAUAAACUUAAAUUUUAGAGAUUUAUUAUUUUAUUAGUUUUGGGUAUAAUAAUAUUUGGUUUGAUUUGAUAGAGAUAAAAUAGGAAUGGGUAGUUAUGAUUUUCUGUUUAUCUAGCUAGAAUAUUAUUUUAUGAUAGAAUAAACAGAUUUUACUUUUAAGUAAGUUGAUAUUUUAUUGUCAGUUUUUAUUAUUUGUACUUGGCCAAGGCUCGAUUUGCACCUAUUUAAAAGUUGCCAAGGUUUAAUGAAAAUUACCCACAAUGGAUUGAAGAGUAAUAUUAUUUCUGUGGGUUGUGUAUAGUGAGAUUUUCCCAACACUUAAGUCAUAUUUCUUUUAUUAUAAAUAGAAGAUCCUAAAUAUAUAUUCAACACAAGGGAGAUUAAUCUCAUAUAGAGUUUUUACUAUAUUCAAACAAAGUGUGUAAACAAAAUAAAUUAUUAUACCAACAAGACUAAUGUAUACAAAUAUCGUUAAAUCUUUCAAAGUUAGAAUGUCUAGAUAUAAUGACCAAACAAGGACUAUCAAAAUAUGUUAGCAACCCGUAGUAGAUUUCAUUAACACAUGUAUGACAAAAGACAAAUUUAAUUAACUACAUUGUUUACUCUUCAUCAAAACUUACUCAAAUUCUCAUGUUGAUGUUCACACAUCAAACCAAUUCUUCCUAAGAUUAUACGUUCGAUUUGGUGUUGUCAAUGCUAUGAGAGAAAUAGAGAAAAAGUUAUCCUUUAAGUAAUCAGUUUAGUGUAACAGAAAAUGUAUGAAUUAAAAGUCUACGAAUCUCUCCGAAAGCAUUGACACAAGGAUAAGAGAUCUACAGACUUACUCCAAUAGUCUUAUUUAAGACAUUUUAUACAUGGAAGUCUUUCAUGUUGAAAAAAACUAGUAAAGUAAGGGAUUAUGAGUAAUUCCAUGUGAAUUAAAAGCUUUAUGCUUGUAAUAGUAUCGUGAAAGGAGAAUAUCACUAUAGUGUUUAACUGGAUGAUUCAAAAUUGUCUUUUUCUAGAAAGCAUUUACUAAUAAGGAACACUAAUAAGGGAAGGAAAAAGGAGAAAUAGAGUAAAAAGUGAAAUUAUUUGAACAUGGAAAAUAUGAGUGAAAAGUUUGUAGAUGGGGUUAAAUAUGUUUUUAGUCCUUAUACUUUGGGGCGAUUUUGGUUUUAGUCUCUCUUUCAAACUAAGUUACAAUUUAGUCCUUCAACUUUAGAAAAUUCUGGUUUUAGUCCUUUUUACCAAAUUUUUUUAACUUUAUUUGUUGUUUCAAGCACAUUUCAUUAUAGCAUUUGGAUUGUUUACACUGUUUGACACAUUUUUGCUUCAAUGUUAAUUGAGAAAUGCGUUUGAAACAAUAAAUAAAGUUAAAAAAAUUUGGUAAAAAAGGACUAAAACCAGAGUUUUCUAAAGUUGAAGGACUAAAUUGUAUCUUAGUUUGAAAGAGAAACUAAAACAAAAAUCGCCCCAAAGUAUAAGGAUUAGAAACAUAUUUAACCCUUUGUAGAUAAUAUGAUUGAUAAGAGUGAAAAACGAUAAUUAAAUGUUUAAUUUAAUUAUUUACCAAAAUUUUCUCAGAUUUUUUUUUUUGUUAAGAUUAUUUUUUAAAUAAUUAAAUUAAACUUGCAUGUUUAUAUUUAAAUGUGUAUGUGUAUUUAUAACGAAUUGGUGAAAAAAAAAACUAUAAAUAUUUUUAUGAAAUCAAUAUUACAACUUAAUUUUCAAGAUUCACUCAAGAAAAUUGAAUAUAUGUAUAUGUAAAAUUAAAAAAUAUGAUAUAUGUUAGCACUAAAGUUUCAUUAGUUCAGUAUAAGCAUGGAAAUAAAAGUGAAUUAAUUUUAUUUAUUUCAUUCACGGAAAUGCUUGCAUGUGGAAUCACUAUUUGAGUGCCAAAUCAAUAACAUAUUUUGUUUUUUUAGUUUCACCAAAAUGAAAGUAGAUUCAACACAUUUUUUUUGGAAGGAAGACAUAAUUGAUUAGGAAAUUAAGUUAUCAAUUAUAAUUGUUUAUUAUGUGUUAAGACAUAAUCAAUUAUACCUCUCAACAAAAAUAUUUCAUAAUAUUUUUACAAGCUAUUCAUGAUUGUUAAAUAUGAACUCACUACAAAUUUCUCUUUUCCUCACCUCACUCAGGGGGACACCUGUCACUCAAACCCCCCACAUCCAAACAUGAAAAAUAACUUAUCUUUUUCUGUUUUCUUUUCUAUUUCUAUAGUAAAUCGACGGAUUCAAACGUAAUAUAAUAUAGCAUUUUUUCUUAUAACCGUAUAUAAACAACUUUUUAAUUGUAUUAAAAAAUAACAAAAAAUAAUGCUUCUGUUCAUGGAAAAAAAAAAGCUUGUUCUUUAUUUUAGGGAGAGAUAAAAAGAAUAACUAGGAAUAACUUUAUAAAUUUAUUAUAAGAAAUAACAAUAAAUAUGCUUAUAAUUUUAUUAUUGAUUAAUAUAAUUCGCUAUGGUUUAUAAAAAAAAUCCGAACACUAACUCAAAAUCGAAGUAAAUUAGUGUAAAAAUCUAAGUAUUUGACAUCUCUGUAUUACAUUAAAAUAUAUAUAUUUUUGGACAACUCUACUACCAUUAUCAUGUGUCGUAUCGUUAGAAAGACGUUCUUUUGUUAAUUGUUAUUCACUAAUACUCUAUAAUUAUGUAAGUAUAUAAUUAAUAUAAAUGAUAAGUUUUAAAAAAAAUCAUAAAAUAUCAUGUUAACGAGUUCCAAAAAUCAAAACCCAUGGUCGAAUCUUAAUGGAUUGACUUGAGUAAAAAAAAAACACUUAAAUGUUCUAUUCAAUUUGUAUAAAGAAUUGUUCCCUCUAUCACCCAAGUCAUUCUUACAUCUUCCCACUAUUUUUUUAAUUUCAAGAAUAUUCUAUAUUAAUUUAGUUUUAUUUAUUUAUUUAAAAUUCUAAAUCUCUCUGCACCUCUUUCAUUAUCACCUUACGAUGAAAACUUUUUCCAAUGUCUCAUCAGCUUCUAUUCACACAAAGCAACUUCCUUUUAUAUCUUAAUUUACACUCCAAAAGAUGUUUCAUUUUCCAAUGUUCUUGAAUACUCUCCACACACUCUUGGACUUUGGGUAAGAUGGAUACAAUGUAAGGAUGUUGUAGGGGAGAGAAAAAGGAAGAUGGCAUAGAAGAGAGAAUAUUCAGAGAGGAAGAGAGAAAAAUUUCAGAGAAGGAAUUUUACUGUUAUAUGUCGUCCCCUCUCUAUUACAGUAUUAUAUUAUAUAUGCACUUGGCUCUGUCUUGCAGUACUAAUCAUGUGCAGAUAGCAAUAAAAGAAAAAUACAAUAAGAAUUCCAAUCAUUUCUUGCUAACCGAAUUCCCUUUUUUACUGGUUGUUGGACACGUGACCACAUAAUCCUUUAGGUGACGUGGUUGUUUUGUGGUUCUUUUGACUCUCUCCUUUAACAGAUUCUCAAUUGUUGGAGCUGCAGUAACAAUUGUGUUUGGGCUUUUGGGAAGAGUGAGGGAAAUGGGCCCUUCAACCCUUACAUCUCCUCCUGGUUCGAGAAACACCUUGUCCUCAAGGUCAAAUUGUUAUUGAAUCUGUAGCCAAGGUUCCCAGCUUGCUUCCUCAAGAGGUAGACCUUGCCACUGAAUCAAGACUUGAAUUUUUGGAGGAGAAAUAAAAUUAUCCCAUUUCCAGUCCAAAAUGGCAGUUGGUUCUAACACAGACUAAUUAUCCUCAAUGUCAGGUGGGAGUGGCAAGGGGGAAGAGGGUAUUGGCCCUUUGUGAGGACGAAGGAUGUUAACAUGAAAGACGUUGUGAAUCUUGGCAGUAGGGGGAAGGUCCACUUCAUACGCAACCUCUCCAAUUUUCCUCGUGAUUUUGAAAGGGCCAAAAAAUCGUUUCGUAAGUUUCCCAUGGGUAGUGCUUGUCACACAGGAUUGUCGACGAGGAGGGAGACGAAUGUAAACCCAAUCAUCUACCUCAAACUGUAAGUCUCUUCAAUGUCGGAUAGCCCAUUUCUUCAUUGCUGCUUGAGCCUUCUGCAAGUUAGAGGCAAGCUUUUGAAGAAUCUCAGCACGGGCAAAUAUUUCGUGUUGCAGUGCUGCAUUAGAAGUUUCCUCGGAAAGGAAAGGAAGCAUGAGUGGGGGCUUACGGCCAAACAUUACCUCAAAAGGGGUGAAUCCAAUUGACACAUUCACUGAAGUGUUUAAACUCCAUUCUGCCCAAGAAAGAAACUUGCCCCAAAGGGAAGGCUUAUGGUGGACAAAGUAGUGAAGGUACUGUUGCAAUAACUUGUUGGUGACCUUUGGUUGACCAUCCGUUUGUGGAUGGUAGGCAGUUGACAUACGCAAUUUAGUGCCACUUAGGCGAAACAGUUCCUGCCAAAAAUGACUGAGGAAAAUGGGAUCACGAUGAGAAAUGAGGUUGUGUGGUAAACCGUGAUGUUUGCAAACUAUAUCAACAAAUAAUUGUGCCACAUUGGAUGCGGUGAAAGAUCUUGGAAGUAUUCCAAAAUGUGCGCCCUUAGAGAACCUGUCCACGAUAACCAGGAUAGUGAUGAAUCCCUUGUAAGGAGGAAGGCCAAUGAUAAAGUCAAGUGAGAGAUCUUCCCAAUAGUGAGAAGGAGGGGCAAUUGGUUGAAGUAAACCAGGUUGGCCGUGUGUAGGGAGUUUAGUCUACUGGCAUGUGACACAUUGUUCAACAAAUGCCUUAACAUCUCUACGAAUGGUGUGCCAAUAGAAAUUAGCCAUUAGUUUACUCAAGGUUCGUGAAAUCCCUGUAUGCCCAGCCAUUGGAGUGGAAUGGAACUCAUGUAGUAAGAGUGGAAUGAAAGAGCACGUAUGAGGUAGCCAUAUUUUGUCUUUGAAUAUAAUGAGAUCCUCCUUUAAAGCAAAAAGGGGGAAAUCCUGUGGUUUAGCCAUAAUCUUGUCGAUUAGAGUGAUAAACUCAGGAUUACUCUAUAGGGAUGACUUGAGAUCCGACAAGAAUUUUGAAUGUGGGAUAGACAAUACCAUAAGCGAAUAUGUGGCUGGAUAAGUAGAAGCAUCAAGUCGAGAGAGAGCAUCAGCAGCUGAAUUUCUCUUGCCAGGACGAUAUUGUAUUUAUAAGUCAAAGCCAAGCAAUUUGAAGAGAUAUUUUUGUUGCUCCGGUGUGAGAAGUGUCUGAGAUAACAAUUCCUUAAUGGAUCAUUGAUCUGUUUGGAUGACAAAAUGGCGACCUAAGAGGUAUUGACGCCAUUUCUGAACAACAGUAGUUAUGGCACACAAUUCGCGUAUAUAUGUGGAGGAAUUGUGGAGUUUUGGAAAAAAUUGCUUACUAAAAUAAGCAAUUUUUUAGUAAAUAGAGAGUCAAAUUUGGGAAUAGCCAAAACAGGUGCAGACAGCAGUGCAUUCUUCAAUUGUAAAAAAUCCUCAGAAGCGAGAUCAUGCCACAAAAAUUUAUACUUCUUAAGGAGCUCAGUGAGGGGAUGGGCAAUGGAUGCAUAGCCUGAAACAAAUUUGUGGUAGAAGCCUGUAAGGCCAAGAAAGCCACGUAGGGAUUUGACUGUAGUAGGGGUAGGCCAAUUCCUUACUGCGACGAGCUUCUCCGGGUCUGGUUUAAAACCCUCAUGGGAAACCAUAUGCCCAAGGUAUUGUAUGGAUUGGUGCCCGAUGAAACAUUUGCUUCCCUUGAGUAUGAAACCUUUGGAAAGCAGUAACUAGAAAGUGGUCUCCAAGUGGCUGACAUGCUCAUAGAGAGUAGCACUAUACACAAGGAUGUCAUCGAAUAGCACUAUGAUAAAGCAGCAUAAAUGAGGACAAAAUAAAUCGUUCAUGGUAGCUUGAAACGUGGAAGGUGUGUUACUGAUGAGUGUCGCACCCCGUGCAAAUUUAAUGUGCAUAAAGAAUGUAGUAUAGUACUGAGAAGUGACUCUUAGGUUGUCUCUCAAGGACCAAACUGUGGUUCGAGAAUUAGGUCAAACACGAAGUGGGGGGUUUGUGAAGAGUUUGUGAAUGCGAUGAAUCAGAUUAAAACAGGAAUACAAACAAAAAGGUAAAAAGAAAUAUAAAAACGGAAUGUGAAGAAGGUUGGUCAUUAACUCAAUCACUAUGCUUCCAAUCACAGAUUAACAACAAGUACACACUACUCUAAUCCAAACCAACACGAAUCACCCAACUAAGCGAAGGCUAAUUCGGUAUUCAAAAUUGCAAACUAAGCGAGUGCAAUGCUCAAAUCCAAUCAGUCAUCCACCAUGCAGUCUAAUCAACUAAGUGAAGAUUAAACGCCAAUUAGGCAACUAAGCAUAUACCUAAUCGCAGGCACAUGUUAAGUCCCUGGCAAGUGUACCAGAUCGUUAUCAAGUAAUAUAAACAGGUAAGUCCGAGUAUCGUUUUCCCAAAGGACUCUUAGGCCUUAACUUUCAUGUAACCUAAUCGCGUAAGACUUGAGAAAAGAAUAAAUUUGGUGGUUAUAUGCAAAGAACAAAAAUAAACAUGCAAUCCAAUUGAUUCAAUUGGUUUUGAGAAACUAUGAGUGAAUGGUGUUGUUGGGGUUUACAAUUUCAUCUUAUCCACUCUCAUAUCUACUCUUCUUAUUUACUUCACUUAUUUAUCUAAUUGCCAUGCACACUUUCUUAUUUACCCUUAACCCAAUCCCUUGGUUAAAAGAGCCUAUUAUUAAUUACCGGCUUGCUAUCCCUAGCCUCCCCUAGUAACCAAUAAUGCAAUGCGAUUUGAAGCAAUUACAAUUGACCGUCCUAGCCCUAUCCCUAGGCGAUAUUGGCAUAAUCAAGGAAUUUCCCACCAGUUCAUGACAUUACCGUACGUCCCCAUAUCGAUAAAGACAAACAUCUUUUACUGAAUGAGUUAAACAAUAAAAGCAUUGAGCAAAAAUGAGAACCCAACAAUUGAUAAACAAGUAUAUGACAAACAUAUGAAAUAAAUAAGAAUUUGUAUAUAUGAGAGUUUCAAAAGAUUACAUUGUUCCCCAACAACAAAGGGUUUAGUUCACCAUAAUCAUGGUGAAACUAGAUGAAAAUAAUGAAAGAAUGGAAGAAAUAACCCUAAACUUGGUUGAAUGAAGCCUAAGCAUCCAAGGAACCUCCUCCAAGGUGUGUGGAAUAGCUCUGGGCGUUUCUCUCUGCCAAAAGAAUCCUCUUCUAAUUCGCAUUGGGACUAUAUGUAAGCCCAAAAAGAUAACAGAUAGAUUACAGAAAGAUUUACAGAAUCUAACUAAACAAACAGACAACCGCCCAGGCGCCUAAUUUGACCAUUCAACGGUUUGCCUCUUGCCGCUCUGACCACUCAACUGUCAGUUUUGCCGCUGAGCGAUUUCCCUCUAAUCGCUCUGAGCGCUUAGCGGACCAUUCUAGCACUCAGCGGCUUGCUUGACCCUUCUUUUCAUUAUUUUACUCCUUUUUUGAUGGGUCUAAGUCCACCUUACUUCACUUCCAUCUUUAAUUCAUGUAAAAACCCUGCAAAACAAUGCAAAACAAGCAUAAUAUCGCUAAAACCAACUUUUGACUCUCACAAGACACAACUAAGUGUUUUACUUGAUUUAAAGCUCAUUCUAAGCCAUAAAGGGCGUGUUUUACUAUCAAAUUUAAGUAUGAAAAUAAUGGUUUUUAGAUCGUUAUCAGCACACAACAGAUUAAAUAUUGAGUUAAAUCAAAGCAGCAGUAUGACAAUUAAAGUGCAAGGUCUCAUGAAUAAACUACUCUAGCCUCUAAUCCAGCACAACUAACCGACUAAGCGAAGGCUAAUCAUUCNNNNNNNNNNNNNNNNNNNNNNNNNNNNNNNNNNNNNNNNNNNNNNNNNNNNNNNNNNNNNNNNNNNNNNNNNNNNNNNNNNNNNNNNNNNNNNNNNNNNNNNNNNNNNNNNNNNNNNNNNNNNNNNNNNNNNNNNNNNNNNNNNNNNNNNNNNNNNNNNNNNNNNNNNNNNNNNNNNNNNNNNNNNNNNNNNNNNNNNNNNNNNNNNNNNNNNNNNNNNNNNNNNNNNNNNNNNNNNNNNNNNNNNNNNNNNNNNNNNNNNNNNNNNNNNNNNNNNNNNNNNNNNNNNNNNNNNNNNNNNNNNNNNNNNNNNNNNNNNNNNNNNNNNNNGAUAUCUCAAAGAAACAAUGUAACAUCACUAAUGACCAACCAACUAACCUAAGCUAACAUGACAGUUAAAUUAUCACUACCAAACAAACUAGACAGAGUUAAAGCAAAAGAAAAUGCUAAAUCCAACAUUACACAAACAAUUAUCUAAACACAACUAAAACUAUUAAAAUACAACAAUAAAUAAAUAAAUAAAAAGAAAUCACAUUUCAGCGGAAAUAAAUAAGAAACGCAACAUUCAAAUUAAUAAUUGAAAGAUACAUUGUGAAACUAAAAUUCAAAAUGCAAAAGCUAAACAUCAACCACCAUUUUUCUCCAAAAGAAAAGUCAAGAACAAUAUUCAAGAAAGCUAAAACAAAAGCAAAAUAAAUUAGCCUUGAGACGUGGGUGGUAGCCUCUGCCAACGUAUUUUUCCUUAUUCUCGCAUCACAUUGUUGUUGUUUCCUACUUGACAUCGCCUUCCAUCGUUUGCAUCUCGUGACUGUGUGCUCUCUCUAUAAAAUAUAUGUGUGUAAAAUAGUGUGUCCUUCGUAGCGGCUGAUGCCCUUAAAUGAAGAUGGACGCGUGGUGUUGCUCUAACGCUCUGGACAUUCCAUGAAUCAACCCACCUCUUCUUUGCUUCAGCUGCUGACCGUAUAGGCCGUGGAUUUCUAAAUGUCACCUCUUGCUGGCUGCUAGUUUACUCACGGUUGUGCACUCCCCAAGCUACUCCGUGUGCACCGCUUGCUGCUUUCUUUUUCUCAACCCAUCACUUGCUUUGCUGGAUUGUUGACUCUAGACCGCUGCUACCCAUUUCUCUCCAACUGGAUCAGCACUUGCAGCCCACUUGGCAAGAGUUGAUCUCCUUUUUAUGCAACAAUCAGGACGCUCGUUGCUGCCAGCAUGGAUGAAGAAGCUGGACGUGAUGAAGGCUGCUAGACUAUUUGCUACUGUGUGGUGUUGGACUGUGGUGAAGACUUAGGUCAAGCAUGUUGCACCUUCUAAAAUUUUUGCUGCAGCGUGUUGAUUCUGGACCGACUAUGUGCACGUUGGGUUGUCCGUGAGGAUACUAGAUCAGGCCCGUGAGCUUCUAAAUGAUGUGCAACUGCCUCUUCAAGGUUGGACGUGAGUGAAGCUGAAUGGGGCUGUGAAGAUAUAGACGUGUGCCUUUUAUCAACAACGGUGCAUCCCUUUUGCUUUGUUGGAGAACGUUGUUGCAUGCCACCAAUAAAGAAGCCAAAAGCCCUCUCAAAAUGUGGGCCAUAAGCAGCUGGACCAUGGGCUCCUUCACGUGCUCACUUCUUUGAAUCAACAUGCAUUACUCAAGACUUCCCAGGCGGUGACACCACGUGAUAAUCUUUAUUUAUGCUGGAUGCAAAGUUGCCGAUGAAGAAAUAUGUUGGGUUGUGACCCUUUAUCUAAUGGAUGCAUCGUUCCAAUAAAAUAAAUACACCCUCCAAAAUGACAUCAGCAAGCCAAAAAUAAAAUGAAGAUAAAGCCUCCUUGAACGUCCCUACUUGCAGCCAAAAUGAAAUCACCGUGUAUUGCAAUUGCUUCUAAAAAUAAAUCAGCGCUUCAACAUGCUUUUUUUAUUGCAGAUGUUUUAGCUUUUUCCAAAUGUCCCAAAUUAUAUUUUCAAAAUUUUCUCUGCAAUUAAUAAUGCAAAUAAUUAGCUCAGAUAAUUCAAAUUAAUUAAAAUAAGAAUUUUUGGUCAAAUUAAGCACAAUUAGCAAAAAUGGGAAAAUAUCAGAUAUUUAAGCACAAUUCCCUGAUUAAUUUUAGCACAAUAAAUGAAGUGAAAUGAAUAAAAUAUUGACUCAUCAAAAUAGAUCACACUUAGUGUUUUGCAUUCCUGGGCAAAAUCAAGACGAAAAUCAGUGAAUAGUUCAACGGACAUCAGGGAAGCGACAAAAACUCAACACGUAGAAAACAAAGACUCACAAAGGGUAAAAAACAAACAGAAUUACACAGUUCUCAAGAAAUAUAGACAGAGAAAAGAAGUAGACAACAUCUAACAUAGAAUUAGAGAAAGCAGAUACUCAUGAAGUCAUCCAAGCAAUUCAAAGCAUGGAAAAAUGAUCAAUCAGCUCAAGAGGUGAAUCAAAAGUAACAGAACCUCACAGAUGCACACUAUCCGUGUUUCUCUCAAGUGUCUAAGGUAAACAAUGUCAACUCAAUGCACUCAAGAAAGCAAGCAGAAACAGACUUGGCAAGCCUCUAAUAUCAACACUCAAAACGUAUGCAUGUUCAAAUCAAAAUGUCUUUUAUGGAUGUAAUGGGGCCAGAGACAAGGGAGGAUAAAAUAUAGAUGAGAAGCUAUAAACCAAAAGAAAUAAAGGAGUAAUGGGAAACAAGUGUAAACACAGUCAAUUCACACCAAAAACCUCUAAUUCAAUCCUCUGCUUGACUCCUUUAUUCAUAAUUUUUUUUUUCUCAUUUUUUUUCUGUUUUUUUUUUCUCAUCUUGUCUCUUUUUCUUUUUCUCUCUAUUUAGAACACAAAUUUCAUAGAUAAGAUGUACACAACAUAUUUUCAAAAACAAAAACAAGAAGAGGAACCAACUAGCCAAUUCAUCUGAAUCUCCCAAGAGACCACACUUGUUCCCAAAACAAUUCCAAAGCUCCAAAAUUCCCUAAGGUUCAGGUAAUCAUGGUUUUUCACUUAAGGCUAGUGUAUGAGCUUCAAAACAAAGAAAUGAGGGAAGAUAUAGGCUCAAGGGGUUAUCAAAAGAUUAAAACAAGGUAAGCUUAUUUGGCUAGAAAGGCUCAAGACAAAACUACCUUUAUCACUUCCAAACAUGCAUAUCAAUCAAUAAUCAUCAAAAAGAGUCAAGCCAAGGCAUAUGUGCAAGCAAUCAAGAGACAUAUCACACAAGAAAGAACAUAAAGUGGCUCAAAUUCUCACACAGGGUAUUUCUGUCACAAUCAAAUCAACCUCUCAAACAUCAUAAUCAUGUUCCAAGAAGAGAAAAGCAAGGAUUUCAAACCAUAAGUAUCAAUGAAGUGAAAGACACAUCUACAACCUAAACAAAGUCUAGAAUUCAAGAGAAACAUGCACAACUGUCCAAAAGACACAACAAAAACUACCUAAAAAAAAAUUUAACAAAGAAAACAAAAACAAAAGAAAUCAGAAUUCUUCCCCAAUAGACCACACUUAAACUACACAGUGUCCUCAAUGUGUCACAAUCAUCAAAUCAGAAAUCAGAACAAUCAACAGAUCAUAGACAAGUGCAAUACAAGUGGGAAAGGAGGAGAAGGGAAGAGGGAAACUCCCCAGAUUAUGGUGGCAGUUGCCAAUUUUGGACUACCAGGGAGAUGUUUUUCACCACUGGAUUCAACAAGGAAGUCUUGAGGAAGAACUGCUUCAUCCUCCAGAUUUGAUCGAGCAGGGAAAUGUCUUCCACAACUGGAUCUAAGAAGCAGUGAUUGUUGAUGAACGGGUUCAGCUGGUGCCUAUUGAUCUUCAAACUGUUUUGCCUACUGACACCCUUGUCUUCCACCAUGGGUGUGUGUUGGUCAAAUUCAUAUGUACCUCCUGCAACAUGGUUAGUGAAAUGUGGUUCCACAAAAAUAACAUGUAGAGGUAUAACACCUAAUCCCAAUGUAACAGGCUGAACCUCAGAUACACUCUCAGAACAUGAAUCAAUUUCAAAUUUAUAAACAAUAUCAACUAAAGGCUCAAAUUCAUGUUCAGUGCAUGGAGAAGAAGUAUUCAGAGAAGAUGGCAAAAGUUGUUUCGCAUCAUGCAUAGAGUGGAAAUGAAAAGCAUGCUUAUCAACAUUAUAAUCAUCAACAUACCCCUAAACAGCAUAAUCAUGAAUAGCAUAAUCAUCAACAACAUAAUCAAUUUGAGGUAUGUUUACCUCUGCUUCCCCGAAGAUUGGUAAAGUGGUGGAAGAUGAGAGUGGUCUACCUGACUCAAAAUUACCGCUUAUACCUGCCUGGUCCUCAAGAUCUUCAACAGUCUCCUUAGGUGCAAGAGUGGGGACAUAGGAGGGUGGGAAAGUAGAUGACACAGUAGUAAGCUCAUGACUCUGCUCCCCAUCUCCUAUGUGGAUGUCACUAACAUCACUUAGAAGUUGAACAGUCUGGAAUGGUGAUUUCUCUAACACUUGAGAUUGUUCCUCGGUGAGUUGCGUAGCCAUCAGCCCCAUCUGAUCAGUCAAACUCUGAAUGAAUGCUCUGGUCUCGUGCUAGAACUAAAUGUUCUGAAUAGUCAUCUGCUCCAAUAACUCCUUCAAUGUAGGCUCAGAAGUAGUGGAAGGAUGAGGAGUUGCUUGGGCAGGCUGAUAAGACUACAUCUGUUGUAGCUCCUGGAUUGGUGGAGAAGGCAUACAAGAAUUCUGGAAUGGCUGAUAUUGUUGUGUAGCAUCAUAUCAUCCCAAGUUAGGAUCAUUCCAUCCAGGAUCGUUAUUGUAACCAUACUGAGCAAAGAAUGGUGUAGAACCAAUCCCUUGCUGCUUCUUGUAAUGAAUGCAGAAAUGCCCUUAAAAACAUGUGAUCAUCACAUGAGGAGGUUUCAUUGAAGAGCAAAUGGUGUAGAACUCCUCCAAAUGUCUAUGUGGGCACUCACCUGCAAAACCAUGAAACUUAGGCAGCAAAUGUAUCAGUCCAGAGGUGAGAACGCAAUGAACAUCAUCCUCAUCAAGUGGAAUCGGCUCCCAAGGAGCACUCUCAGGAAUGGGAGGAUGAGUCAUAUUAUUCUCAACAUAAAAAUCAGCAUAAUAUGCAUGAGAAGCAAUAUCAAAGUAACAUGCAGAAGGAGAAUCAUAGUUAUAGGCACAGACGGAAGAAGCAGUAUUCACAAAAUCAAAAUAGGUGGACAUAGAAAAAGAAGGGGAAAGGUAGAAAGGAAAGGCUAACAAUUACGAAACACACAAAACACAACACAAUUCAACAUGCGACACGCGCACACAAUAACAAACACAAAAAAUAGAACAUCACACUCACAACACAAAACAAAACACAACAUACACUAACACAACAAAAGACCUAAAACCAAACUGUUAGUCCCCGGCAACGACACCAAAAUUUGAUGGGUGUCACACCCCAUGCAAAUUUAAUGUGCAUAAAGAAUGCAAUAUAGUACAAGGAAGUGACUCCUAGGUCGUCUCUCAAGGACCAAACUGUGGUUCGAGAAUUAGGUCAAACACGAAGUAGGGGGGUUGUGAAGAGUUUGUGAAUGCGAUGAAUCAGAUUAAAACACGAAUACAAACAAAAAAGUAAAAACAGAAUGUGAAGAAGGUUGGUCAUUAACUCAAUCACUAUGCUUGCAAUCACAGAUUAACGACAAGUACACACUACUCUAAUCCAAACCAACACGAAUCACCCAACUAAGCGAAUGCUAAUUCGGUCUUCGAAAUUUCAAACUAAGCGAGUGCAAUGCUCAAAUCCAAUCAGUCAUCCACCAUGCAGUCUAAUCAACUAAGCGAAGAUUAAACACCGAUUAGGCAACAAAGCGUAUAUCCAAUCGCAAGCACAGAAUAGAUUAAAUAUUGAGCUAAAUCAGAACAGCAGUAUGACAAUUAAAGUGCAAGGUCUCAUGAAUAAACUACUCUAGCCUCUAAUCCAGCACAACUAACCGACUAAGCGAAGGCUAAUCAUUCNNNNNNNNNNNNNNNNNNNNNNNNNNNNNNNNNNNNNNNNNNNNNNNNNNNNNNNNNNNNNNNNNNNNNNNNNNNNNNNNNNNNNNNNNNNNNNNNNNNNNNNNNNNNNNNNNNNNNNNNNNNNNNNNNNNNNNNNNNNNNNNNNNNNNNNNNNNNNNNNNNNNNNNNNNNNNNNNNNNNNNNNNNNNNNNNNNNNNNNNNNNNNNNNNNNNNNNNNNNNNNNNNNNNNNNNNNNNNNNNNNNNNNNNNNNNNNNNNNNNNNNNNNNNNNNNNNNNNNNNNNNNNNNNNNNNNNNNNNNNNNNNNNNNNNNNNNNNNNNNNNNNNGAUAUCUCAAAGAAACAAUGUAACAUCACUAAUGACCAACCAACUAACCUAAGCUAACAUGACAGUUAAAUUAUCACUACCAAACAAACUAGACAACAUUAAAGCAAAAGAAAAUGCUAAAUCCAACAUUACACAAAAAAUUAUCUAAACACAACUAAAACUAUUAAAAUACAACAAUAAAUAAAUAAAUAAAAAGAAAUCACAUUGCAGCAGAAAUAAAUAAGAAACGCAACAUUCAAAUUAAUAAUUGAAAGAUACAUUGUGAAGGUAAAAUUCAAAAUGCAAAAGCUAAACAUCAAUCACCGUUUUUCUCAUCCCAUCACUUGCUUUGCUGGAUUGUUGACUCUGGACCGCUGCUGCCUAUUUCUCUCCAACUGGAUUGGCGCUUGCAGCCCACUUGCCAAGACGUGAUCUCCUUUUUAUGCAGCAAUCAGGACGUUCCUUGCUGCCAGCAUGGAUGAAGAAGUUGGACGUGAUGAAGGCCACUGGACUAUUUGAUGUUGUGUGAAGAGGUGCUGGACCGUGGUGAAGACUUGGGUCAAGCAUGUUGCAGCUUCUAAAAUUUCUGCUGCAGCGUGUUGAUUCUAAACCAGUUGUGUGCACGUUGGGUUGUCCGUGAGGAUACUGGAUCAGGCCUGUGAGCUUCUAAAUGGAUGUGCAGCUGCCUCUUCAAGGUUGGACGUGAGCGAAGCUGAAUGGGGCUGUGAUGAUGUGGAUGUGUGCCUUUUAUCAACAACGGUGCAUCCCUUUUGCUUUGUUGGAGAACGCUGCUGCAUGCCACCAAUAAAGAAGCCAAAAGCCUUCUCAAAAUAUGGGUCCUAAGCAGCUGGACCAUGGCCUCCUUCUCGUGCUCACUUCUUUGAAUCAACAUGCAUUACUCAAGACUUCCGAGGCGGUGACACCACUUGAUACUCUUUAUUUAUGCUGGAUGCAAAGUUGCUAAUGAAGAAAUAUGUUGGGUCGUGACCCUUUAGCUAAUGGAUGCACCGUUCCAAUAAAAUAAAUACACCCUCCAAAAUGAAAUCAGCAAGCCAAAAAUAAAAUGAAGAUAAAGCCUCCUUGAACGUCCCUACUUGCAGUCAAAAUGAAAUCACCGUGUAUUGCAACUGCUUCCAAAAAUAAAUCAGCACUUCAAUAUGCUUUUUUUAUUGCAGACGUUUUUGCUUUUUCCAAAUGUCCCAAAUUAUAUUUUCAAAAUUUUCUCUACAAUUAGUAAUGCAAAUAAUUAGCUUAGAUAAUUCAAAUUAAUUAAAAUAAGAAUUUCUGGUCAAAUUAAGCACAAUUAGCGAAAAUGGGAAAAUACUGGAUAUUUAAGCACAAUUCCCUGAUUAAUUUUAGCACAAUAAACUAAGUGAAAUCAAUAAAAUAUUGACUCAUCAGUUACAUAAACCAAAUGGCAUUACGCGAAACUCGAAGUGCCCAUUGUGAGUUCAAAAUGCAGUUUUAUCAGAAUCAGUAAGCACCAUGAGUAUUUGAUGAAAACCCGAGAGAAGAUCGAAUUUAGAAAACCAGAAUGCAUGUCCUAAUUCGUCAAGUAAUUCGUCGACGGUGGGUAUUGGGAAGUUGACCUUAACGGUGGCAACGUUGAGGGCCUUGUAAUCAACGCAGAAACACCAUGUUCCGUCUUUCUUUUUUUACGAGAAGGACUGGAGAGGAGAAUGGACUAUUGCUUGGCUUGAUGAAACCAGAAUCUAGAAUUCUCUGAACUUGGGUUUCAAUUUCUUGCUUCUGAAAAUAUGGAUAGCAGUAUAGUCUCACUGAUAUAGGAGGGGUGUUUGGGUUUAAUGUAAUUGAGUGGUCAGUAGGGCGUGGUGGAGGAAGGGCGGUGGGGAUGGAGAAUAAUGUGUGGUAUUGGGAGAUGAGGGCUUGCAGUGUAGGUUCAGUUGAGAACGGAAGGGGUGAACUAGUAGGGGAUGAAGUUGUGAUAAUUGGAGGAAUUGGAAGAGGGUGGGAGUGCAUGAUGAGUUGAAAAAGGGCUUCAACCCUAUUAGUGGAAUGUAAACGGCGAAGCUGAUGGGCUGAAAUGGGUGAAGGAUUUGGACUCGAAUCCCCUCUUAACUCCACAAGUCUGUUUUUCCAAUUGAACUGCAUAAGUGGGCCGUUAUAGUCCAUCACGAACGAGUUUAUCAAUGAAAGCCAAUGAACCCCAAGAAGCACAUCUGUGCCCGAUAGUUCAAGCGGAUACAAAUCAAUAGGGAAUUCCUGGUUGUCCAAAGUGAGUAUAACACUGGGACAAAAAGUAGAACAUGGCAUAAACUCACCAUUACCUAUCAUUACACGUAAUGGACUUAGUGUGGGCUGUGAUGGUAAAUGGAGGAAUUGUGCUACUCUGUUUUGGAUGAAGUUAUGUGUUGCCCUACUAUCAACCAAAAUCCGGACAACAUAACCUUGUAUGGAUCCGGUACCCGAAAUGUUCUAGGAGUCCAUUAUCCCAAAAAGCCAUGAAGACUGAUGAGCCCAGCCUCUUGUGAGGUGUCCUCCACAGCUAUCGCGUCCUCAGAGGAUAGGCAAUCCUCUUGGUUGUCAGUGCCGAAUGCGGUGAGGAGCAGAAAUUGUGGUUUGCAUCUAUGACCUCGUGUGUAGCACUCAUCGCAAUUAAAACAAAGGUUUUUCUCCCUUCGAGCCUGCAUCUCUGCCUCAAAGAGGCGUUUAAUAGGAAGUUUGGUAGGUGGUGUGGGUAGCAAUGGCGGGAGAGGUUUAGGUUGUGUAAGUGGGAUUGUGGUCAAGGGCGGAGGGGGAAUGGAUGUGCGGCCGAAACGGUUGGGUGGCGGAAGGGAGGAACAAAAUUUGUCUUCGUGUAGUUCAGCCAAAGCAAUAACAUGGGGUAAGUCUGGUGGUUGGAAGGCGGUGACCUCAUGGCGAAGAGAUGGUUUCAAGCCAGAGAGGAAACAACUUAGGUAAAAGCUGGGUGGAUAAUCAGAGAUGCGAUUGGCCAAAACCUCAAACUCGGAUAGGUAAUCUUGUAGGCUCUGAGUUUGGGUAAGCUUGCAGAGAUCUUCAAUAGGGUCAUCGAACUUAGAAGGGGCGAAACACAACUCGAGAACUCGUAAAAAUGAUUCCCAAGAUGAAAGCAGUUCAUUGUUAAACAUCCAUUGAAACCAAGUUAAGGCUUGACCCUCUAGGUAAAAGGAUGUGAUCUUGAUGUGUUGGUCGGUUGGUGUUUGGUGAUAGUCGAAGAAUUGAUUGACCUUGAAGAUCCAACCAAGAGCAUCAGAGCCAUUGAAGGUAGGAAGGUCAAAUUUUGAGGGACGUGUAGGAGAGGGGGGUGGUUUUGGUGAGGUUGGGUUUCCAGGAUUGUGGUGCGGUUGGCGAUACCGUGGAGGGUGUUGGAAAGGUUAGCAUGAGAGAGUAAAAGUUGCUUGAACUUUAUGUUUAAUUUGGUGAGCUCAUCUUGGGGAAUGGAAGAUUCGGCCACAGAGUAAGGGUCAAUGAAAAGCACCAAUGUAAGGAUGCUGCAGGGGAGAGAAAAAGGAAGAUGGCAGAGAAGAGAGAAUAUUCAGAGAGGAAGAGAGAAACUUUUCAGAGAAGGAAUUUUACUGUUAUAUGUUGUCCCCUCUCUAUUACAGUAUUGCAUUAUAUAUGCACUUGGCUCUGCCUUGCAGUACUAAUCAUGUGCAGAUAGCAAUAAAAGAAAAAUACAAUAAGAAUUCCAAUCAUUUCUUGCUAAUCGAAUUCCUCUUUUUAUUGGUUGUUGGACACGUGACCACAUAAUCCUUUAGGUGACGUGGUUGUUUUAUGGUUCUUUUGGCUCUCUCCUCUAACAGAUUCUCAACUACUGGAGCUGCAGUAACAACUGUGUUUGGGCUUCUGGGAAGAGUGAGGGAAAUGAGCCCUUCAGCCCUAACAUACAACCACCGUAAUGUAGUCGCGCGGUUUGUGUCGUCACAUCGUGAUAGCCUCCUAUUGACGUGCUAGUGUUAGCUCCGCCACUGAAUCUCUAUUGCCACCGUGACUUCACUUUUCUAUCGCAGCUGCUGGACUUCACUCUUCAACAAGUUUGUUUCUACUGUUGAUUUAGCUGUGACGACUACUAGUGGCCAAAAAUAGUGAAUUGAAAUAAACUUUCAUACCAACAUACAUAUAGUUUCGCCUUAUUUUUCUAUCAAACAUGUGCACCAAUUUUUGUUGUUUAUACAAAACUAGUCUAAUUAAUAAAAAAAUUCAAACACACCGUAUUUUGUGCCUAAGGAUACACUCUCUACACUACUCUGUAUCAAGAGAUAAUUCGCUGCACAAGCCUAGGUGUUGGAGGGCACAUGCAGGAGGUGCAUAUGGAUCCAUGGUGAGAAAGUAUGGUCUUGGAGCUGAUAGUGUUCUUGAUGCAAAAUUGGUUAUUGCAAAUGGCCAAAUCCUUGAUAGGGAAGCCAUGGGAGAAGACAUAUUUUAGACAAUUAGUGGAGAUGGAGGAGCAAGCUUUGGCAUAUAUAUUCUUAAAUGGAUAUCGACAUCCAUUUGUCCUUCAAUGGAUGUUGAUAUUUGUGCACAGAUGUUGACAUUCGUUUAAGAAUACAACACAUUCACAUCUGUUUAAAUAUUAUUAAAGGGUAAAAGAGGAAUGGAGAGGUAUAGGAGCAAUGUGUGGUGGUGGAGGGAGUAACUCCCAUUUGUUUAAGCCAUUUGGGCUCUCUCUAAUAUCAUUUCUAGCAUUAAAGGCAAAAACAAAAUAUUAAGAAGUACAUUUUAAAUCUAAUUGUAUCUUACAAAACUAAUUUAUUAGAUGAUAUUUGCAUCAAUUUAUAUAUUAUAUAUUGAUCUUAUUUUUAGUUGAUAUGAGAUUUUCAGUUCAUUCUCUCACGUUAGACUUUCAAUAAAUUGUGAUUGUUAAUCGAUAAAUAAAGUUCCCAUAAAUAAAAUCAUAUGGGUAAAAAGAAGUUGCUUAUUAGUUCUAAUAGUAAUUUUAUAAGUCAAUUAUUCAUUUCUAUGAUGUGUGUAAAAGUACUAGAGAUUGUACUUUUUGAGAAGUUAAACUUUAUAAUUAAAAUUCUUAUGGUGUAAGAAAUUUAUUUCAAACAAAUUUUUUAAUGAUUUUCAAAUUCUUUACCAGUGUUGUAUGAUUUGUAACAUACACUUGAUGAAAUCACUUAUAUGAGUAUCGAGUAAGACCAAUUGAAUGAAAAAUUGACAUUUUAUAAUACUCAUGAAUAUCGGACACACGUAUGGCCUUGUAAGCGCGACAUAACAAUAAGAAUUGUAGGGGUGUAUUGUGAUUGAUAAAUCACUAACACACAUAAAGUAUUUUUGGUUCAUAUUGCUUCUUAUACUAAUUAUACCAUAGGUUAAGUUUGUCAAUUUAAGACUGAUUUAUAUAACUUACUAUAACUAUGAUACAUUAUAUGUUAUUUACUGUAUAAUAUGUUAUUUACUCUCUUUAAGAGUUUCUUGUUAAGUUUUGAAAUUAUUAAAAAAUUUGAAAAAUUCCUAUUAUAUUAUAGAAGACUUAAACAACACACAACCAAUAAGUUUUUAAGAGGAAAAAUCUACACGUUUCAAGAAGUAUUUUUUUGUUCAUAAUUUCGUUCGUUUUUAUAACAUAAUUGUCUUAAUGAACUUUUCAAAAUUGACCAAAUAAUAAAGGCAAUGAAAAAGUUAUUCCAAAUGCAUUCUAUUUUUAUUGAUCAUAUCAAGUUUUAAGAGAGAUAUCUUAGAAAAAAAACGAUAUUAGUUAAAUUAAAUAUUUUUAGCUUACCUUUUUAAUUAAUAUACAAUUAGGUAUCAUUAUUUGCAGUACUUUAGUCAAGAUAGAGUUAAAAAUUUGUUGCAUGCUAAAUACAAAGGUAGGCAUAUAAAUGGGACCACCUUAGAAAAUCCAUUGAGUGAUGUUAGUGCACAAACUCAUCAUUGAAGACUUGAAGCCACCGCCUAAUAGCACUCUCGUACUUUAAAUGUUAGAAACAUAACAUCUAAUAUAAUUUAAAAAAUAAAUAAAUAAACUAUCAUUCCUUUUUAUCUAUAAUAAAUUCAUCUCAUAAUUUCUUUUUGCAACCCUUAUUUUCGGUGGUGGAUCUCACUUCAACUCAACUCUGUAGUUAGAUCUGCUCUUUCCGAAUAGAGGUAUAUUAAUAGUUGUUUUUGUAUAUUUCUUCACGUAUAAAAUAAAAAUGAUGUAAGAUUUGUGUGAGAGAAAAAUAUUAAUGAAUGAUAGUUGUUGAUAAAAGAAAAUGUUUUUGAAUAUCAUCCAAACUUAUCUAUGUCGUCCUUAUCUAUGUCGUCAAAUAUAGUCAUAGAAGUAUGCACACUUUGAAAAGUAAAAGAUCUAGUAUCUACUUAAUAAUUAAUAAACAAGAACUUGCAUAACUUCACUUUUUUAUGAUAAAGAGGAAGAAACUCAGCUCUCCUUUUUUUGGUAUGAUAAAACAUAUAUUUGAUAUAAAAUAAAAAACAUGAACUAACUUUCUAAAGCAUUGUUGGAUUCAUUAUGAUAAAAUCUUAGUGCGACUUUUCUCCAUGAAAAUACAUAAAUUUCCACAACAGCUUCUAUCCAUUUGUUCCACUUUCUACUUGUAUUUAUAUAAAUUAUUAAAAAUGUUAUACUUAUAAAAAAUAUAUAAAAAUUAAUAUAUUAUCACUAUCACUAUUUUCUUGGUAUUACGUCAUAUUUUAUUAUUAACAUUGCAAUGAAGUUAUAUUAACGAUAUGUUUAAGAAAAUGGUUGUGGCAUUUGGUUUAUCUAGAAGCAGCCGCACAACACAUUCAUCAAGCAUUCAUCAUUAAUUAUAUUAUAAUUUCUUUAUUAUUCUCCUUUUUAAUUAUAAAGAUUGAAAUGUAAUCAACAUUUUGAUAACUUUGUGCAGCCAGUUCAUGAUCAUCGAUGUCUACUUAGAUCUUACCUCUUUUAUUUGUACAUGAAAAAAGAGUAAUAUUAGCUAUGAUCAAAAUUUAUAAUACUAAUUAACACAAAAAAAUCUUUAAAUAGUCUCAAUUACCAGCAGAGUUUCACUAAAAAUAAUAUUAUGUAGAUAAUGUCUUUAUAAGUUAUAAUUAUCUUAUCAUUUCAAAAGUUGUAAUUGUAAUCUUAUAAUUACCGACGAAUUUUUAUCGACGGAAAUAUUUCCAUCGAUAAUUGUAAUUUAUCAAUGGAUUUUAUCGACGAAAUUCAUUUUUUUUCGACGGUUUUUAUCGACAGAAUCAUUAUCGAAGAAAUAAUUUAUUGAUAAAUACGUCGAUAAUGCAGUUCACAUUUACCGAAGGAAAAAUCCGUCGAUAAAUUCGUCGGUAAUGCGCCCUUCAUUUACCAAAGGAAAAAUUCAUCGGUAAAUCCGUCGAUAAUGGACCCAACAUUUACCGAAGGAAAAAAUCCAUCGGUAAUGGAACCUUCAUUUACCGAAGGAAAAAAAUCCAUCGGUAAAUCCAUCAGUAAUGGAUCGAAAAAAUCCUUCAGUAAAUCCGUCGGUAAAGAACCCUUCAUUUACUGAAGAAAAAUCUGUUGGUAAAAUGGGCGGGAAUUUUCCCACCCAUUAUUUUAAUUACCAACAGAAAAAGUCAUCGGUUUAUCCGUCGGUAAUCCGUCGGAAAAAUGUCAUUAUCGACGGAUUUUGGACAUUUCCAACAUAUUUCGACCGUAAAAAAUUCCAUGUAUUUUUGUAGAUAUACAACUUAAUAAUGUACAAGUAUAUCUUUAAGUAGUUACCUAAAUAUGCAUUAUCAUAACUUACAUAUAUUAUAAUAAUAAUUACAACAACAACAACAACAACAAUAAUAAUAAUAAUAAUAAUAAUAAUAAUAUUAUUAUUAUUAUUAUUAUUAUUAUUAUUAUUAUAAUAUCUCAUUUUAAUAGUAUAAAAGUAUUAAAAUAAAACGUUAUAUAACUAAAAACUUACAAAAAGCUUUUCAAAACUACUAAGCAAGGAGAUCCUACACUUGGAGAACAAAUUAUAUUAUGUUGAUGAUUCACCCUCCUCUUCACGCUGAAAUGAUCAGAGAAAACCCCUCCCUAAGCUCACACCAUUUAAGGUGAUCAUUGUAAAAGAGAAACAUACACACAUAAACAAAAACAAAAACAAUGGUUAACUAGUAUGAAAAGAAGUAUCCCAUAAUAUUUAAAUUCCAAUAUAUAUCAUAACUCAACCCAAGAAAUUUACACUAUGUAGGAUCACACAAUAACCAUAAACUUAACUCAUCCGAAUAUAUUAUGAAUGUCGAGAUAUAACAUGUUCUACCCUUUGUGUGGUGGAACAAUUGACUCCCCUCAGCUACCACACAAGGUUAGUCCGUUAAAACACCCUUUGACAGAUGGAGAAAGGACCCCAAGCUAGGAUCAUGAUGGGUUCUGCACUUGUGUGGUGAAACAACUAACUCACUCAAAGCUACCACACAAGGUUAGUCCUUUAACGUGUCCUUUGCCAAUCGAAGAAAGACCAUAGGCUAGAACCUCCUACUCCUCUCACGACAUGACUCAUCACUCUCUACUUGAGCAUGGAUGAUCAUUAGAGUGUCAUAAUAAUCCAUCAAAACUGAGCUUCUUACAUUCAUAACAAUAACACAUGAAACUACAAGUAAGGAAUUCCUCCUUGGAACUCUUUUCCAUAAUUUUUCAUUCGCAUAGUAUACCAAUACAUGAAACCACUAAUCAUACAUUAAAGAAUCAGAAACAACCUUACAAAUUAUCAAAAAUCACAUAAAACCAUUCUAUAUACUUUAACAUACCAAAACUACCUAUUAAAACCAAAUAAAUCAAACAAUACAGAAACCAAUACAUUCAACAAAACAAUCAAAACAUAAUUUCUACAUGUCAUUGAUAACUUCCUAAUUUUGCAUAUUUUUCUUUUAUUAGAAGCUCUUGUUAGUGUAUUUUAGUCUUUAAUUUUCUAGUAUUAGGAUAGUUUUAGGAUUUUUGUUUAAAAUUGUAGAUUUGUAGAAUUUUAGUUAAAAAUAGGUUUUUAGAUGUAAUUUUUAUUUUUUUUAUUAGUAAGAAAAUAAUAUUUUUCUAGAAAAUAUUUAAUAAAAAAAUCUUUCUUUUAAGUGUUGGAUUUCUUUUUCUUUAAUUUUGUUUUGAUUAUUUUUGCAGAUCUGAAAUAAAUUUAGGCUGGCUGUUUUAUAUUGGACCAGAGAUGCUGCUGCUGAAUUGGGUCAAUUGAAGUGGGCUGGAUCUUAGUUGAAAAAGCUGGUUGGCCUCGAGUUGCAUUAUUGGUCACUGGGAAGCAAGAGUUGGGCUGACGACACUGUUGCCAUACAAUGAGAAGCUGCAGGGGCUGAUUCUGAAUCUAAGAGGAACGACGUCGUUUUGGACUGUUGCUGCAAUUGGGCUGCCAAAGCAGUUAGGUCGUUGCUGGCGCUGGAUUGGGCUCCUACUUUAAUUGGAACGGUGUCGUUUUGGUGUCGCUUGGCAGCAGAUGCAAGGGGUCUUCGUGGUACACACUUCAUUUGACAUAAUGAAAAAAAACACUAGCGUUUCAUUUAGAGAAAGCACUCCCUAGAGCUAGGGCAUGUGCGAGAGCGAGAGGAGCUCCUUUGUGCUGGAAGCUGAUUUCGAACCUCAAGUUUAAAGCUGAACCAAAAGCAGAGCGUGAUAAAAGAGGUGAUCGGAGGGCUUGAAGAGGAGAUCGAAUCGGCGAGGAUCUAUGACCGUCCGAUGGAGAAAGCGAAACGCCCAAGUGAAGAAGGUUUCUCUUUUACAGAUUUUUCUUUUCUUUGUUCUAGUUUUUAGACCCUAUAUAAAGGGGUUCUUCCAUGUAAAUAGACUCAGAGAUUUUUACACAUAGACACUUAGGUACUUUUCAGUUUAUAUUUUUAGAGUAGAUAGAGAAGACACGAGAGCUUAGGGUUUUAUCGCACUUCUGGUUUCAAGCUUCUUGCAUUCUCAAUUGCACAUUGCUCGGUACAUUUUCGUGUAAUUUCAUUUAUUGUUAAUAAGAUUUCUUCUGUGAUGUUUCUAUGUGUUGUACCUUAGGUGAUUUUUUCAUUUUGAAUUUUCCAUUUAUUUUGUGUUUUUGUUUAAUGAUGUGAGGGUCGUUUCUCGUUGUUUUGUAUGAAACCUGAUUUAGACUCUGUGACUCCACACAGUUGAAAUUCCUUAGGGAAUUACAUGACUCCAUAGUGAGCAUGACUCACCGAGAUGUCUUCUCGAGUGGAGACGAAGGAAAAAGUACUGUGAUUCUUGUUUUGCUUCUGUCAUUUCAUUUUAGUGAGAGUUUUGCAUUUGGUGAUGAUUAGAAACUUGAAUUAAGAGUUGAAUUUGCGGUGAUUUGGUAUAGGAAGUAGACAUUUACCCAAUCUAGGUUCUGAUUUGGAACUUAAAUACCACACAGUGGGUAUAACUAUCCAGGAUGUCUUCGUGAGUGGUAAAAGUCUACUUUUCUACACUAACUUUGGCACUUUUGACUCUGAUUCAUUGUUCUAAUCAACCAAUCUGUUUCUACUCAUUAGUUUAGGUGUUUGUUCAUUUGAUUUCAAUUCUAGUUGAGAAUAUUAACAUGAUUGUUCUUGAUUGCUUCUGUUUAGAGUAGGAUUUGAUUAUUCACUUUAGAUUUUAUGUUUUACAUUCUAAUUCAGAUUUGAUGCUUAGUUUAGNAAUAUCUCAUGAUUGUUAAUGCAUUCUUUUAGACUUAGAUUUUGUUUCUGUUUGGUAUUUCUGUUUUGAAUAGUUUAGACUUGGCUUAAACACUCCUUUGGUCCUAAUAUUUGUGUGAAAAUCUCAAUUCGGUCCUCAAGUUUUGAACUGUCUCAAUUGAGUCAUAAUUUUUGUAAAAAUGCACACAUUUUACCCCAACCGUUAACUGAUCUCAAACGACGUUAAGUUUAGCUGACGUGGAAUGCUGACGUGUUGGCUUAAUCUCUUCUUGGUCCUCGUAUUUGUGUGAAAAUCUCAGUUUGGUCCUCAAGUUUUGAACUGUCUCAAUUGGGUCAUAAUUUUUGUAAAAAUGCACACAUUUUACCCCAANCGCUAACUGAUCUCACUGUGNAANAGUUAUCUUCUGCUAUNAGUGGAAUAAAUAGCUUAAAGGCUGGUGAUGAACCUAUAGGUUACCAAGUUGGUUCAUUUGCAGAAAAGGCUGUGAGACUGAUUGCACUAGUUAUGCGAGUUUUCCGGUGACUUUAUUUUUUGAGCCGAUGAGAUAAUCUAUGUAAAAUCCCUGAUUCUCAGAGAGAUGAAUAAAAUUUCUAAUUCAAAUAAACUAAAUAAUAGGCAUUGUGCCACGUGAAACACUGCUUAUUUUAAAAAAUAAUUCAUAUAAUUAAACAAUACAAGUCAGCAUGUCCUCUGGCUACCACGUCAGCUAAACUUAACGCCAUUUGAGAUUAGUUAACGAUUGGGGUAAAAUGUGUGCAUUUUUACAAAAAUUAUGACCCAAUUGAGACAGUUCAAAACUUGAGGACCGAACUGAGAUUUUCACACAAAUACGAGGACCGAAAAGGGAUUAAGCCAACACGUCAGCAUACCACGUCAGCUAAACUUAACGCCGUUUGAGAUCAGUUAACGGUUGGGGUAAAAUGUGUACAUUUUUACAAAAAUUAUGACUCAAUUGAGACAGUUCAAAACUUGAGGACCGAACUGAGAUUUUCACACAAAUAUUAGGACCAAAGGAGGGUUUAAACCUUUAGACUUUUAUUUUCUUUUCUUUUAUUGCAUUUAAAUUUCUUUAUUCUUUUAAACAAAUUUUAGUUUAGAUUUUUAUUUUUCCUUUUUAGUUUCAUUCAUUUUAAAUGUCCCCACCUAGUUUAAUAGUAAAUAAGUAGUAAAUAAAUACAAGAUUUAACCCUACACUUUAAUCUUAAUUUUGUCGAGUCCUAGGAUUGAUAUUCUGGUCAUCCCUAUGCUACAUUAGUGGGGACCAGACUUUGUUCUGCCUUAGGCAACUAAAAGACAGUUUAGCAGUCAUCCAAGUUUAGGCUACAAUAAACUUGAAAUACAGUUUAUCAAACAUUAACGGUAUUACAAUAAAUGGUAAUUAACUUCCUUUACUUGAUGGAAGCUCAACCACUCAAAAAGGCCAAAAGUUGCUCUCACAAUUUUAAUGAUACUAAUUGUACCUAGAAGCAAUAGAAACAUGAUCAAGGUAUGCGUUUACAAUCACUAAUCAACAGAGAACCUAAAAGAAAGCUUAGAGGAGGCAUGUAACUAAAAAUAGCCACAUGCAGAGAAGAAACAUGGAACCUUAUAAACGAGCAGAAAUUCACUUACUCUUUUUAACAAAUUGAUCAGUUGGAUAUGAAAAUCUUAUUGCCUUGAUCCUUUAAGAUCUUCUUGAUAAUCAAACCGAUGAAUCCAAUGAGAAGAAAGGUUAAAGAGAAUGUAGAGAAAGAAUUUAGGAUUGAAUUUAGAAAGAUAGCAUAAUUUUAAAAAAGUGGAGAUGAUUUUUAAUAUUAAAAAAGUAGAGCCCCAUUAUUUAAACACAUUAUAAAUUCUUUAAACUUUAUUUUGUAGAUUCUUGCGUAAAAAAAACUAUAUCUUCUUUUUAUAUAAUUAUAAAUAAUAUUUAUUGUAUUUAUCAAAUAGCAAUUAUUAUUAUUAAAUUUAUCCUCUUUAACUUAAUUAUUGUAUUAUAAUUUAUUAUUAAUUUAUUUACUUAUUCUUUAUGAUUAAAAAUAUAUUGGAAGAAAAAUUGAAUAAUGAAAAAUAUAGAUGUAAUUAUUAAAAAUGCCCUGUAUUAUAAUUUAAACUAGUUUUGAGAAAGGCCAAAACUGUUACAUUAAUUAUAAUUCUACUUGUAAUAUAUCUACAGACUUAAAAUAUCUAUUUAUUUUAAAUUUUAGUUAUAUAAAAGAAAUACUUUUAUCAGCCCAUUAAUUAUAUACUUCUCCUCAUCAAAAGUCAAGCCGACAUUGACUACGAACAUAUACCAAAGGAUAAUAUUUUCUCGAUUUUAACUUUUAUUGCAUACUUCCUUUUCCUUGAUAUACAAGUGAGGGAGAGAAUUCUACUUUAACCAGUUCACUUCCAUACCCAACUAUCAAGGAUGAUAAAAGAAAUAUUUGGAAGAUCUUUUCAAAAAAUUAUAAAAUAAAAAUAACAUUUUAUAAAUUAAAAUUCGAUUAUACAAAAUCGAAUUCUAAAAACAUUGUUAUAAAUUAAUUUGAAUAUAAAUUAAAGCUGAUUCCAAUCUAUAAAAAAUAUGUUGCUUUAUUUAUAUUUUAAAAUCUUAUAUGAAAGUUCAUUAUUGUAGAUCACAAAAGAUGAAUGAAAAAAAAAAAAAAGAUAGAUGAUAAUACAUAUAGGCUUUUAUUCAUGUAUAUCUAUUAACCAUUUUUCCUUCUUUAUAUAUCUUUCUUCUCUUAUCAUAUAGUUUUGUUAUAUUAUUCUGUUCUCUUUUUAGAGUAAUACAUGAGGUGUUGAUAAAUAUUUAGAUUUAUACGAAAUAUAUAUAUAUAUAUAUAUAUAUAUAUAUAUAUAUAUAUAUAUAUAUAUAUUAAUUAAAGAAUUAUUAUUGUGCCACAAAUUCUAGCUAAAAGCCUAGCAUUUAAUUAUCCUGAUAAGCUCCUUUGCUACACAUGGCAGAGUGUGUUGACUUUUCAUAACAUCAAAAUACAAAUCCACCGAAACCUUCUUACAGAUUCAUUCAUUAGUUUCUUCUAGUUUCUACUUGCGUUUCUCAUCAGCAACUUCAUCGGUGUGUACUUUUCAACUCUUCAAGUGCUAUAUAUACGCAUAUGUGUGCGUGUUUCUAAUAUCAUAUUUCAUCACACACAUUUAGCAGUAUAAGUGAAUAUCCGCUAACUAAGCCAUGGAGAAGAAAUCACUGGCCGGAUUAUGCUUCCUCUUCCUUGUUCUCUUUGUUGCUCGUAAGUCACUACUCUUAUGUCAUUCUUCUAUCAUAUGAAAUUCCACGUUGAUUUUAUUUCUUUAUUGGUGAAUACUUUAUAAAUCGAAUGUCUCUGACAUAUGCGGAUGAGUUUAUUUGAACAUGCAGAAGAAGUUAUGGUGCAGACUGAGGCAAAGACUUGCGAGAACCUGGCGAAUACUUACAGGGGUCCAUGCUUCACCACUGGCAGCUGCGAUGAUCACUGCAAGAACAAAGAACACUUGAGGAGUGGCAGGUGCAGGGACGAUUUCCGGUGUUGGUGCACUAGAAACUGUUAACCGGAUUCUCCCCAACCCGAACAAACGUGCAUGCAGGGCAUUUUAUAAAUAAAAAACUAUAUAUACAUACAAUAAGCCUUCUACUGCAUAUCUAUAUGUCAACUUUGUACUAUGGUACUACUUUCAUGUCAGAACUAUGUCUGUAGUCUCUGUGACUGCAUAACAGCUGAGUUAUGCACUUAUGUUAUGAAUUAUGAAUAAACUUCUUAAGUUGCAAAACGUCAUCCUAUUCUAUUCUUCUCGGUACUAUCAUUUUAAUUAAUCUUCUUGUCUUUUCUUCAGAUAUUUUGUGUUUAUAGUUUGUCCGAAAGUAACUUGCUGUAUUUUUUAAACGGAAUUAAAUAAUUGAUUUAGUAGUUUAUUAAUUUUGUAAAAAUAUUAACG